UGGAAAAUAACACAUUAGCCGGAACCCCUGCAUUGCCUGCAAUCAAUAGCAAUAUGUCCAUUUUUACCACAAAUUUGACAUUUUUGAACCACUUGAGUGUUACCAGAUCUAUAUAUUUAAGUGACUACAGUAUGGCCUUUCCUCAUGCAAAUUUGACAUUCAGGAACAAUCUUUUUCUAUUAGAUGUGUAGCCAGACCAAAAGUUACCAUUUUUAGGACCAUUAAACUUGGAUUUAUAACCACUAGAACCCUUGCCUCUAUAUCCAUUAUUAUUACCAAAACAUCAAUUCCCUUGCCCAUUGUAGUUAUUUUGUCCUUGACCACCAAAACUGUUAUGCCCUUGUCCAUUAAACUGAUUUCCAGGAGAUGUAAAACCAAAAAAAGAAGAAGAAUUAUUCUGUGAAAAGACUGGAGCUUGAGAAAACCCCAUAUUAGAUGGUUUAGGAGCAACAAACCCAAAACCAAAAUUCUGGAGAAAUGAAGCAUAAUUAAGCAACCCUUGAGCUUGGAAAAGAUGCAAAAGCAGUUGACACAACACUAGAUGCAGAUAAACCAGCAUUAGUAUACAUAGUAGCCAUACUAUGAACAAGAGAUUGCAUCAUAGUUUCAAGAUUCUUCUCUACCCCUAACAAUUGAGUUCGGAAUUCUUUCAAAGUAAUAGGUGUGUCUCUGGCAAGAAUAAAAGUUCAAAUCAUAUCAAAUCGGCAGGUAAUCCUGUCAAAACUGCUAUAACAACAUCAUUAUCUAUGAUCUUUUCACCAGCUGCAGUAAGUUUGUCUUUAAUAACCUUCAUCCUUAACAAGUAUUUAUCCACAUUAUCACCACCUUUCUUAAUGAUAUGUAACUCUGCCUUUAAGUGAUUAACACUAGCACUAGAAAUAGACAUAUAUCUAUUUUGCAAAGCAGUCCAAACUUCAUGAGAAGUCUUACACCCAACCACAUGCUCAAUAGCAUCAUCACUAAGUGUAGCAAUAAGAAGACUAAGCAAUGGCAUAUCUGUCUUGACCCAAAUGGCCUACUGCUUUAAUUCCUGUUUCAAAAAUAGAUAAUUUUGUAUCUAACUGUAUAAAGGCAAGCGCAGAUGUAUGAAUAGGAGAUGUUAUGCGAGUAUCUACAGGACCUAAAUUAUCAACCGGCUCUCCAAGAACGUUGAAAAUUCGUCCUAGAGUCGCUCCACCGACUGGAACACUUAAAGGAGCUCCAGUGUCAAUCAUUUCCAUUCCUCUCUUUAGACCAUCUGUAGCACUCAUAGCGUUUUAUAAGUAGUGCUAAUUUCUUUAGUAACCUCCAUCUCAAAAUUAAGCACAUAUUUAGGAGGGCACACAAAUUCACCAGUGAAAUGAUCAAAGAGAUCAUAUCCACGAAGCACUGAGCAAAACUGAAAAUUCCACUUAAUGAAAUUAUCAUCAUUCAACUUGAUUGUUAACAUCCCUAAAAGAUUCUCAAGCUUCACUGACUCAGACAUGAUUACGUAGCAACAAUAUCAAUCAAGAAUCACAACCACAAACCAAGAAGAUGAAAUCGGAAAAAAUCACCGACUUCGGAGAAAAACCCAGAUGUAAAACUCAAAUUUCGCGUCCAAAAUUUCACAAAGAAGAACAAUCAACUAACAAUACUGGAUGAACAACUGGUUAUCGACCUUAAUUCAUCACAGAAAUCAUGUGAAUUGGCAUCAGCCUUCAAGAACGCUUCAAUAGCAUAUAAUCUGAAAUGAUCUAAUCAAUCAAGCUGUCUGGGCAUCGGCCUUGAAUUCAGACAAGCUACUACUAUAAUCUUGAACAAAGAAACAAGAUCCGAAAAAAAAAUUCCCAAAAUUUACAAUUUACCAGAUGACUGAAGUCGAGGAGAGAGACCACCAAACCUCGAAGAACACCAUAGCGGAAAAAAAAAAAAAUCACCAAGAACCCAUCACGCAAGCAAAGUGGCUCUGAGAUACCAUAUUAACACUAAGAUCAAUAUUACAGAAAGAAGAAAUGCAGACGAUCAAAAAGAAGAAACUUAAAAUACAAGACAACUUGUAUUUCUCAGAAAAUGCAACAGUACAUUACAAGAGAGGGAAAAUCCCUUUUAUACAUUCUGUUUACAACCGCUUAGCAUAUGGAAAUUCGAAGAAAUUAUAUGUUGAGCAAUCUUUUGCUUGUGAAACUUAAACCCUGAUUAGAUUACUCGUUAAAUAUAUUGAGUGGGCAAAGGUGCUUUAAGGUGCUUUAUUAAUAACAAAAUCAGGCUUUAAGGUGCUUUAUUAUAUAGGAAAACUAAUGAAAAAAGUUUGAAAAUUUUGAGUUUUAACUAUAAGGACAAAAUAAAGGGUAAAAUGAAUAGUAUCAUGAUUGACUUUUUAGUGUAAAAAUGUGGUUUUUCGUUAAAAUGAACAAUACCGGGAGCUUUUCGUUAAAGUUCCCUUAUUAUAUAUCUACCUAGACAGCCUUCAUUUAAGAUGAAAUCUGGUUGGUAUGUAAAACAAGAUUUAAAAAUAUGUUACAAGUUAUCUUCCUAAUUGAUUUACUUUUAGGGAAUUGUUAUAGGUAUUCCAAUAAUCUAAUUGUGCACUCUAAAUUAACUUUCUACACUUAAAAUGAAAGAUAAUCUUAAGAAGAGUGCACCAUUGAAUUUUUAGAAUACCAAUAAUAGUUUGCUAGCAAAAAGGGGAAGCAAGCAAAAUAAUAUGUACAAUACUCUUUGGAACAAUUCCACUCAUAAACAUUAUUAUACAUCAACAAAACCAUGCAUACGCAUCAUUUGCCAGAUAUAAUAAGCUUCAACAUAAAACUAAUUGGCAACAUGAAGACUGAGAGUAAUCUAACUUAUUUAUAAGCUCAUUCAAAGUCUAUCCCCUCUUAUCAAUGUGGAAUUCACUCUAAGGUGACUAACUAGCCUUUUUCACUCUCAUCUUUUUAUUCAUCUGCUUUACAAAGUAAAUAAUUUAUAAUUUAUUUCUGCACUAACAUGACGAGUGCACGAAGCUAAAGGAGGAGUGUUAACCCCAGUAGCCGGAAUAGAUGCAAACCUUGAAAUUCCGAAAUCUCGUAAAAUAGUUGGUUUUCUCAGCUUAAGUGACAAGACCUCAUAUCCAAAGUAAGGUUUGGCCACAAAUUCUUUCCUUAAGUUCCCUUGGACUUUCACAACACAAGUAGUCUGGGAUUUUCCAUAGCUAGCCAAGCUUUUAGGUUUAUCCUUCUUUAAUAUUCCUUGUGCAUCCAUCCUCAAAGGAUCAUAAAUCGCUUUGUUGAUGUCCGCAAGCAAUUCUGUUGGGGAGUCAUAUGCAUUUGUAGAAUUGAAAAACAUAUGAAAGGCUUUGAGGCAGGAGAGAUGGAGUUUUUUGCAUGCCUUUGGCAUAUCAUCCCCAUUGAUGCCAUUAUUCACCAGAGCCUGUUCUAGAAACUCUUUCUUCUUUUCAUCCAAUACCUUCUGUAUAAUCCCAAUUGAUUCUUCAGCCCCCAAAUUGGGAUUUCCCUUCAUGUGUAGCAGAACAAGGUUUGGCUUCCCCUCCUCUUGCUCCCUCUGCAAUGAAAUCAUUAAAUUCAGUUUUCUCCAUUAGUUAAGAUUAUACUAAUUAACAUGGUGACAACUAAUCAAGAACGUGGUCAUUAUGAAUUUCUCGUCCGAGAGAUAUUUCAGUCUGAUUAUCCCACCACUACGUGAAGUUAUCAUUAAUCUAUUUACGCGAAUUUUUUUUUUCAAAGCAUGUUUUAUUAAAGAUAUACUCUGGCUCCCUAAUAUAACAAUAUAGUUGUUUACUACUAUUAUAAUAGGUACAUUAAUAAUAUUAUAUGGCAGUGUGACGGUCACAAUAAAAAAUAUCUCUUCCUAUACCUGAUAGCUUUGAAUGUCGUUCAAAAGCCGUGUCAAAAGCAUAAGUGAAUUUGUAAGUGGAUGACUUUGAGGGGACUUUAGGAUCUCUAAUCCUGGAGGUGUAUCAAGUAGAAGAGCAGCUGUAAGAAUAAUAGUCUGUGAAGCAAUGGAGCUUGUGGCUACUUGGAGGUACUCAACAAUUGACAAGGGAUGCCCAUUUUUGCUCCAUUCUGCUUCCUUUAACCAGCUUACAAAUGCUUGAUGCCACUAAAUUCAUUCGGCAAAGAGUAAAAAGAAGAAUAAGUAACACUUUUUUAUUUUUAUUUUUUACAAUUAUUUCAACUAAAUUAUUUUACCAAAAAUCUUACUAGAUCCUGAAGAUAACUCUUUAUGUCAUAUCCAUUUUGUUUGAAGAAUUGCCAAGAAAUGUCAUCAACAAAAUCUUUUAGAGACUUGAAUAUAGCUUUUCCAUGUCCUUCUAGUCCUUUUUCCUGCCAUCUGUACGAUGUACAGAUUUAAUUAGUUAAAAUAAUAACAAGAGUUACUUUAAAUUUCUAUACGUGGAUUAUAUAUUUCCGUCUUAGAACAUGCAUGUGAAAUUCAACACAUAACCCAUGCACACACUAAUCAUACAUUAAUAUAUUGUACCUCUCGACGGCAUUGGCAAGAGCUUCCAAUUCAUUCAUCAAACCUUCCUUGUCAAAAAAAUCAUCAGCAACUGUAACAAGGACUGCGGCUUUCACAAGUGCGGACCGUACAUAUGACAGGGAAGAAUGUGAUGCUGUUGAAGCAACUGCAAAAUAACAGUACGCGGUUUUCUGUCUAGCAAACCCCAUGUCAACAAGACCAAUGUCCUUUGACCACCUGCAUGAUUAAUUUUUCACCCACAACGGAAAAAGAAAAAGGUUUUCAUGGUUAACUAAUUCCAGUAUUAAAAUUUAAAAAAAAAUGGAAAUUCUUUAGUGAAAGUGUAGAGAGUGAGUACGAACCUUUCUAACUCCUUUAAUUCAUUUCUGAAUAUGGACUGCCGUAGUGUAUAGUUCUCUAUAGCAAGUUGUAGCAGCAUGGCAUUGCUUUGACAUGAUAAUCUGCAAGGUAUUAAUGAAUUAAACUGCUUAAUCCGAGAUUUGACUGCCUUAAUCUAUUCAAUUAAUUAGUAUUAAUUUAAUUACCUGCAGGAUAAAUCCUUUCCUAUCCAUGGACCAGCAGGCUCUAAUUUCGUCUCAAUGAACUUCCUGUGCUCCAGAUGAUCCAACCGAGCAAGCCAUGGAAUACUAAUUUCAUGCGUAAUCUACUCAAGGGAGAUAUGCAACAAAAUUAAUCAGGAGAUGAUCAUUAUCAUUAAAUAACUAAUUAUAAUGAUUGAAUAUAUUUUCUUAUUGCAAUUUUUAUUAUAUUUAUUCUGAAUAUGUAUACCUGGUCUUGCAAGCCAUUCAUACUAGAAGGCCCGACCAGAUUCUUAGAAUCUUUUAUUGUUUCCUUUUCUAGUAUUCUUUUAGAGAAUUCCUUAACAUCCUCAAGCUCACUUUCUCCUGUAAAGGUCACAUCAGUCGCCCUGUAUACAUUAUACAUGGCACUCAGAAAAGUUUCAUGGUGCUCUUCUAUGUACACCAUCAUAUCUUCGUCAUGAAGGAACCAGCAGAACUUCCCUGCAAAUAUUAACAAAUUUUGGUAUGUAAAUUAAUAAAUAAACUGAUUUUUUUUAUUGAUAAAUGAUAUGAUAUAUACAAAAUUAUACAACGUAUGCCUAGAGUGUCACAACAGAGUUACAACAUCAUAACGAGACUAGAAAAAACCAAGUUUCAAGUCAUCACAAAUAUUAUAAUCUGAAAGCAUGUACAUAACAGCAAUUAAGCAUUAAUUGAUCCUUACGAGGAGAUACUGUAUAACCGUGAAGUCUGAGAAGUCGAAACGCAAGUGAAUCUUUAUAUAGUUGAAGUGGCAUGGCAUGCUUUUCCUUGCUCUUUGGCUCUUCGCAACUGAUGUAACUUCUGUUUUUUUUUUUAAAAAAAAUUGAUUAAUUAACCAGUUAAUCGUGUGCGUAUAUUGCUUAAUGAUGAAUAUUAGGUCGUCACCUGUAAACUUGUCCCAGCAUAGUUGUUAUCUCUGCCAUGAAAUGCUCUGCCAGUCCCAGCCUCUCAGUACGAUUAACAAGACAAACCCUUGGAAGGUUUUCAUCCAUGGGGUAGAUCGCAGGAACUGUAAAUGUAUAACAGAGUUGUCUUACUCUUUGAUUUCAUGUGGUUAAUUAGUCAUUUUUUCAUAGAUGCUAAAAUAAUCUACUUUAUUUGUAAAUAUGGGGAGGGGUAUUCAAACACGAGACUUUGGGUGCAAGGACAAACGUCUCUUAACCAACUAAGUUACAAUCCACUUGCUUGGUUAUUUUAUGAUUUAAUGAUUUUUUUUGGUACAGUGUAUAUGAAAAAUUCGACAAUGCUACCAAGUGUACGAUAACUUCAAUUUUUAAACGUUAGAUCUUUAUUUUUAUAUUUUCAGUAACAGUUUAACAGUUGAAAGAAUAACAUAGCAUACUCAGACAUAUCUCAUAUGUGUGUAUAUAUAGGGCUGGUUUGGUAUUGUUGUGCUUUGAAAAAAAACUGCUUCUGCUGUACUGUGAGAAUAAGCAGCUGUGAAAUAAAGCAUCAGAGUGUUUGGUAAACUUUUUUGUAAAAGUACUUUUGAAAAAAAAAAAAGCAGUAUUAUAGUGUUUGAUAAACUUUUAUGUAAAACAGAUGUGAAAAAAAACUGGUUUUUCAAAGCUGGGUUUUGCAGCUUUGUGUUUUUGGCUUUUUUUCAUCCAAAACUGUGAAAAAAAACUGAAGCUGAAUGUUUACCAAAUAUAAAAAAACUCUCAGCUUUUUUUAAUAACCACUUUUUUCAGAAUCACCUCAGUACCAAAUCAGGGUUAAAUCUGAUGACAUUUGUACAGGUGACAGCAGACUACGCAUCGUAGACCAGCAAUCACAUCAUAGGAAGAAAAAAACAAAACAUAAACAUUAUUUGGAAAUUUUGGGCAAUAGAUGGAGUUGAAAUGCAUGCAUGUCCUACGUACCUGAGAACCCGCAUUUUUGGACAAUAGAAUUCAAUUUGGACAAAAACUCCUUGCGUCCUGUCUUCAUAAAAGCAUAUGCAAUAACUGAUGGGGAUUGGAUUAACAGCCCAUCUUCCUCACUUUGGCAUAAUAGUAGAGUCUCAUUGAGGUUAAUAUCAUAUGCUUCAGCAGGCAAAGCUUCUAGGUAUUGCAUGAGUUCUGGUGAAUAGUACUGUUGCUGAUCACCACUAUGCACCAACCUGCUCCAACAAAAUCUAGAUUAAAUACUUAACUACGGUCGAUUUGAUAAAUAUUUCGACAAAAACUAGAUUCAAUAAGCUUGAGUAGUGUGGGAGGAGGGAGAAAUGCACAUGUAAUGCGAUAGAAAAUGAAAACAAAAAUUAAAAAGAAAAUCUACGAUAAAAUUGUUUUCAGUUUUUAGUUUUUAUGUUGUGUAUCAUUUAAUGUGUUUUUCUUCCAUGUUCUACCGGCCACCAAUCCUCUAUCCUUAUUCAUCCCUAAUUUCUUUCUUGUAUUUUCUCAUUAUUUCUAAAUAAAUUAUAAAAACUAAAAAUUAUAUAUACCUAUGCAUUUGGAAUAUUUGUUGUCUCUUUUGGAAGACUUGUUCUACCAACGCUGUUGAACCAUGAGAAAAAUGAACAUGCAGUCCUUUGCUCUCUGCAAGUUCCACCAUUGCUGGGAAAACAAUCACAAACCACUCAAGAAAAGAAUUAUUUUGCUCUUCCAGUAGCUUCUCUGUGGUUGCAUGGAUGAAUGCUAGCCCUAAACAAUAAACAUAAGAAAAAAUCGUAACAACCAAUUAUUCCAAAUGCAUAAACGGGUAUUUCCGACAGUAAAUUUUUUCGGGGUUUGCGAAAUUUGAUCAUUUACUUUUUUUUUUACGUACCUUUCUGAAUGGCAUCAUGGCCAACAUCCCAUGUGGCAAGUGCAACAAUGCAAACAAGAGUUGAAGUGAGGGACUCUAUGGUUGGAACAUGGUCAUCAUCUCCCCAAAAGCCUCGUGGUUUGGUGUUGGAGCACCCAGUCCAAGCAUCCUUUGAACAAGGGUUCAUCUGAUCCUCGGUGAGGAUUCGAAAUCAUCGACAGCCACGCAAUGUCGUAAGGAGAAGGAAGAACAAGAGAAACAAGAUCAACAUCCGGUGAAAACAAUUCUUGUUUAACUUUCAUUACCAGAUUCUUAACCAAAAUUUCUUGAGAAUCCAUGCGAUAUUGUGUUUUUAGAUACUCACACACUAACAGUACUUAGGUACACACACUUGUUUUUAGGGCUGGGUUCGGUUCUUAACGCUUCGGUUUUUUGCCAAAACCGAAAUCGAACCGAAAUUCAGUUCAAUUUUUUUUCGGUUUUUUUCGGUUCGGUUUUUUCCGGUUCGGUUUCGGCCCGGUUCGGGUUUUUUAUUUAUUUUUAUUUUUUUUAUCCUCCCGUUCUUCGUCUUCUUCAAUAGCAAAAAGAAUUCUGAAUUGCCGAAAAAAUUGAAUACAUUCUUCAAUCAGUCCUCAAAUGCACUUAAUGAGAUACCUUAAAACAAACAUAUACAACUGGUUAUUGGCAAAUUACAUCUAAACUAAUCAAGAAAUUUAAGUGCACCAUCAGGAAACAUAUGAGAUUUAAGCUGCUCAUCAGCAAUUAAACAACAAUCCUUGCAUUUCUUAAUUUCCAAGUGAAUCAAAUUACAUUCAAGAAAUUUGAAUUAUGCAUUACAGCUGACAUCUACCAUUUCACCCUUCUACUACCAUGCACAAUCAAGAAAAGCAAAACAGGUGCAGCAUAAAAACCUAUAAAUCGACAAAUAAAUAAGAGAGAUUGGGGAUAUUUGGUGAAGGGAGGGCUGUUACGGGUUAUGGAGAAAAACCCAACAGUAGAAAAACUAUUUCAUAAACCACAAACAGAAAACUCCUAAUUUACCAAAUUAAAAUUAACCAACAACACAACACAAAAACAAAACCAAAUUAAAAUCAACCAAACGAAAAAAAUAAACACAACCAAACGAAAAAAAUAAAACACAACCAAAUUUAAAUCAACCAAAUUAAACACAACCAAACCAAAAAAAUAAAUCUUUUUUAAAUUAAUAGUUAAAAUAAGGAAGAGAUUGAACCGAUUCGAACUCCCUCUGCCAUCCUCCUCUGCUUCCGAUUCGAAAGGGGGCGAGGGAAAAUUAUGAUUUGGAAGAAGGAAUCCGCGAGGAGAACAGGAGAAGACUGGAGAGAGAUUGAUUUGGAGGGAGAGAGGAAGGAGAGAGAGAGAGAGAGAGAGAGAGAGAGAGAGAGAGAGAGAGAGAGAGAGAGAGAGAGAGAGAGACUGAGGAAGCAGAGAGAUAGGAAGAAAGUAGCGGAGGGGAGAGAGAGAGUGUAUGAGAAAAGGCAAAAACUGAAAUGGAAGAGAGAGUGACGGCUAGGUUUGUAAACUUAAGAAAUUUUAUAAAAGCAUUACAUAUUAGAAACCUAUAAAUAUAGUUCGGGUACAAUUAUGACAACACAAACCCACAGUCAAGUUGUCUUGAAACAGCCAUCCCCAACCUCUAGGUCAGGGGUUCAAACCCUGGCGCCAACACGUUUUUUUGUAUUUAUAUUUUAUAUAUAAAUUAUUUUUUUUUCGGUUCGGUUCGGUUUCCGAACCUCAAAAACCGAAACCGAACUGGCCAAAUUCGGUUCGGUUCGGUUUGGCAGUUUCGGUUUGAUUUUUUUUCGGUUCGGUUUUUUUCAGCUUCGGUUCGGUUUGGUUUUCGGUUUUUUUUCGGUUUUCGGUUUUUUGAACCCACCCCUAAUAUAAUUUGUAUGGUAUUUAUAGAGAGCUACAAGCAUACGGAAACUAAUUUCCCCUCCACCUGUUCUCGGACGAUGGUUCGAUACAAUUGCCGCAGUCAUUAGAGUCAAAGUCAACCCAUUUGGAACAUAGUUCACGAAUCACAAUUGGCAUUCCAAUAAUAGCACCACUCAAUUAAAGCAAGUUCAGUUCUAAAUUCUGGUUCUCCCUUUUUUUUUUUUUUUCCUUUCUAGUUCUUAAAUUCAUGACUGUUACAUGUAGAAAUGGUAUCAUUUUUUUUUUGGAAUUAUAACGAAAAGCUCCCGGUAUUGUUCACUUUAACGAAAAAUAACAUUUUUUACACUAAAAAGUAAAUCUUGAUACUAUUCACUUUACCCUUUAUUUUGUCUUUAUCGUUAAAACUCAAAAUUUUCAAACUAUUUUCAUUAGUUUCCUUUUUUUUUUUUUUUUGAACAAAUGAUAUUAUCUACACUAAGGAAAAAUGGAGGUCCAGCCUCACAAUGGAUUAACAAUAAUGUAGUUCAAAUUCGUCUUUCGCGAGAAUAGAACUUAAAACCUCUUAUUUACAAGUGAAGAGAAAUACUACUAGAUCGUAAUACUAAGUGACGAAAGGGUAUCAAUUUGUUCCACAUUAGAUUUAGAGAUUCGACCAAUCAUGUCAUUAUCUUCUCUCGCUGGCAUAUGUCAAUUUGUGCGUGUGUGUGGUUAUUUAUUCAGCUGACAAUAAUUUAGUCAGGUUACAUAUACAAUAUCCAUACAGUAUUAGUACCCGAGGGAGGGCCUGAUAGACAUGUAUCAUGAUUAUUAAUAAAAAGAGGUUUUAUCACAAAUAGUUGAGACGAGUUGAACUGAUUCUGCAAAAAUGAUUUAGGACAGAUUAAAUUGAUUAUAGUAAUAAAGGAUACAAACUGAUUUUGCAUAUAAUUUCAAAACUGAUUAUAGAAAUAAUCGAUGAUGAGUUGAGAUUAGGGCACAUAUUGAUUUUGUUGGAACUGUGAGGGUUGAGUUGUAUUAACAACCCUAAAAUCUUAGGGGUAUGACUGAUAUUUUAAAACAUUGUUUCCAUGUUAUUGCGUUGUGCUUUAGUUGUUUUUGUGUUUUUGUCUCUCCUUGACAUGUUUAAAAACUAGUGGGAUUCCUUGAAAUAUAAUAAAAGUUUUUUUUUCUAGAUAUAAAGCUCUUUUUUUUAAAUAGGAUAUGUUACUUUUAUCCAGCUGUGAGGUUCGUGUAAAAAACUAAAAAUUUCAGUGAUACGUAAUUACUAAAUUGCCAUGUCUUUUUAUUUUGUUAAGUUUGGAUGAGAGAGUUAGAAUAAUAAUUUCAUGGAGUUUUGAUUGAUAAACAUAAUUUUAUUAGUAGGUUGUUUAGAUUUACGUUAGAAAAUUAAUAAAGGUUAAAGAACCCGGACCCAUCCACAAAUUUUUUGGCGUUAUCUUUUUUCUCGGUCCAUCUUGCGAAACCUCUUCCUCUCCUCCCUCAUUUUAUCCGUCCUUGCUCUUUACCAGUCCAACCUUCAUCACAGAGAUCACCUGUGAUCUGGAAACUGAUCGAAGAAAAUGUUCGAUUUGGUUGCAGGGUUUUUAAAGUUGGUUGUUUUUCUUAUUCUGGGAGCCGAUAGAAGAAGCAAUGUUCAAGCUGGUUUUGGGAAAGCUACGCAGGAGGCCAAUCCCCUGCCCACGAUUCUCACGAUGUAUGAUAAUUCCGUUGUUUUAUUUUUUUUGCAGAAAUUAUGAAAAUGAAUUGGGUUUUGUGAUUGUAAUUAUUUGGGUUUUUUUUAUUUUUUUAUUUUUUUUUUGUAAGUAUUGGGUUUUUGGGAUUUUGCAGAAAGGGAAAAGUGGUUGUGAAGACGACAUCUUCCGUGACUAACGUCAUGCUGAAGUCACCUUUACGCGUAGCCUGACGUCAUAUCGCUUUAAGUGUACAGGCGGGCGAGAAUGGUCCGAUUACUUGAUUUAGGGGGGUUGGACCCACCGAAUGGCCCUGCUGAUUUGGAUGGGCUGGAGUUGUUUUGUUGGACUUCCUCCUUCAAUUAGCCCACAUGGAAUCAUGGGUCACGACACACGCCGAAAAAUAAAUAGGAGACUUUGGAAGCAAGCAAAAGCCGAAAUGAAUAGCUGGUCACAUUUUGUGACUUUUCCUUCAAUAUGAUUAAGACUCUCCUUUGCACUACUCAUAAUCCUUGCAUUUUCCGGCCUCCUCCAAAUAUCAGAUUCACACGCACUUAAUUUAUAUCUAAUAACAUUUUUCUUCACUUGUAAGUAAAAUUUUUUUAGGUUUAUUCUCGCUAUUGAUACCUUAUUAUGAGACUUAGACUAUCUCCCUCCUUUUUAGUCUAGAUAACAUUAGGUUUAUUCUCGCUAUUGAUACUUUAUUAUGAGACUUAGACUAUCUCCCUCUUUUUUAGUCUAGAUAACAUCGUUUGUUAAAAAAAAAUCUAGUGAUAUAUAUAACUACCGUAGGAUGGUCCAGUAGUUGGUGAUGAGUCUUAGUGCUGGUGAAUUGCAUGAUGGUGGUUAAGGAAUGCUUAAAUGCUUCUGUGAGUUGAAAAUCGAUUGAAAUUGAAAAUCGAGAUGAUCAUUGAAACUGAAAAUCGAUCAAUAGUCCCUGAAAAUGGGUAUCGUAAAUCAAUAUGGGUCAUUCUGUCAUAAUUCUGUGAAAAAUUUUGUUAUGUGCUCAUAUGACACAUAACUUGGUCCCACAAAUCUAAUUUUAUCACAAAUCGUCAUUGAAAUUGACCCACCUUAUCAAGAUGGUCGCUAAAAUUGAAAAUCGAUCAAUGUAGUUUUUGAAAAUGUGUCAGAAAUCAAUAUAGUCAUUCCGUCACAAUUUUGUAAAAAAUUAUGUUAUGUGAUGUGACAAAUUAUUUGUGUCGCACAAGUUUAAUAAAAUAUCGCCAUGUCGAUAGUUGAUUCAAAAUAAAGAAAUAAUUUGAAACAAUUAAAACUUAAAAUAAAGGGUAAUAAACAAAAACAUCAGAUUUUCAAUCCACAUGGCAAUAUUUAAUUAGAUUUGUGGGACUCGGUUAUGUAACAUAUUAGCACAUAACAGAGUUUUUGACAAAUUGUGACAGAAUGACCAUAUUGAUUUGCAACAUCCAUUGUUGGAGACUACAUUGAUCAAUUUUCAAUUUCAGGGACAACCUUAAUGCAGUGGGUCAAUUUCAAGGACUAUUUGUGACAAAAACAUGGCAAUAGUUUAUUAAACUCGUGGGACCCAAAUAUGUGUCACAUCAGUACAUAACAAAAUUGUGAUAGAAGAACCUUAUUGAUUUGUGACAUCCAUUUUCAGAUAUUACAUUGAUGAAUUUAUAAUUUCAAAGAUCAUCUUGAUAUAAUGGAUCAAUUUCAAGAACUAUUUGUAAUGCAAUAUUGUUUGUAAUGAAAAUCCUAAUAAAAAUCUACGCUGGUUUUUCGUGCUUGUUGGUCAAGCAUACUGCUACAGUGUAAGUACCUCCUGAUUAAUUAACCUAACGUGGUAUGGUAGCUGGCUAGUAUAGUGACCCCAUAAUCACAACAUACGAUUUUGCAUGAAGGCAAACAUUUGAUAUUAUUCUUUUAUCACAUUUUUCAUAUCAGAUUUGUACUAUCUUUUUAAUAAAAAUAAGAUCCACGUGUAUCUACUUUUGUUAUAAAGGUAAUACAAAUGUAGUAUGAAAAAUGUACCCUCUUAUUUGAUAACUAUUUCGCUUGUAAUUUUUAUUAUCCCAGGCUCGUCUCCCUAUAUUUAAACUUUAUUUGAUAACUAUUUCAUUUUUAAUUUUUAUUAUCGUUUUAUGUCCUAUAGAUAUGAUAGCUAAUUACUUAUAGGAUAGCCAAUUAAAAUAUACGUAAAUAUGUAGGGACCUACUUGGUGGCCAUAAUAGUCGAAAUCGACCCAAUGCACAGAAGUUUCCUCAAAACAAACACAGCUAAUCUUAUUAAUACUUAUCUGAUAUGGAAAUGGUGCAUUAUCUAUGACCACAGUUUUUAAAAAUAUAUAUUGAACUAGACUGUGUGUGUGAAUCUGAGUACUUGGAGGCGGCCUGCAAAUGCGAGGAUUGAGACUAAUAUAAGGGAAGAAAGUAACAUGACUCUGUCUAAUCUUGAUGUCAUGCAUGUCAUUUGUUUAAUUGUAAACUUACUGAUGGUACGUACGAACCGACCAAAUAAGCAAGUCCUCAUAGUCUUAAUCAUGUUGAACCGACCAAAUAAGCAAGUCCUCAUAGUCUUAAUCAUGUUGAACGAAAAGCCCCAAUUAUUGCCUACAAGUCUGAUUCAAUUUGUCUUUUGUUUGCUUCCAAAGUCUCCCAAUAUGUUUUUCGGUGUGUCGUGAGCAUGAUAUCAUGUGGACUAAUUGAAGGAGAAUUCCCAACAUAUACUUUUCUGCGUUUACAAUAUACGCACUAUUUUACACGUCAUUAGAACCCCCCAUUUCCCUAUAAUUGUCAUUUAUUUUCAUUGCAAAUUAUAUUUUGUGCUACUUUAUACUAAGAAAAUGAGAUAGAGUGAAUGUGAAAUGCAAUAGUUUGGCUGAUUACCUAUCCUAUAGGAUAAGGGUUUUGCUGUCCAUGAACCAACAGUCUAUUUCCUCUCAGAAAACCUCCAGUGCUCCAGCCUACAGAUGAUCCCACCAAGCAAGCUCAUGUAAUACUAAUUUCAUGCUUAAUCUACCCAAGGGAGAUAUGCAACAAAUUUAGGAGCUGAUUAAGUAACCAAUAAAAAUAACUGAUCAUAUAUUCUUAUUUACACAAAGGGUUUUUUUUUUUUUUCUUUUUUUCUUUGGCUUUUGUCUCAAGAUUUGUAAAAUAUCUGGUCUGGCGGUCAUACUAGUAGAUCCAACCAAAAUCUUAGACUCUUUUGUUGUUUCCUUUUGGCAAUGUUUUUUCUACCUCAUCUGGUUUGGGUUAAUGGUGGAUAUGUCUUUUAUUGCUUGGUUUCUUGUAUGACUAAACUUAUCAAGAAUAUAAGUCAAAUAGAUUAAGUUUAUGAACCACAAAUCAUACAAGUAUCAAAACUACAAUUCGAUAAACACAAGAAUCAAACUGAACUGUAGAAGCACUCUAGAAGAAGUUAUAGAAGACGUCAAAAUAGUGCAUUUUACCUUGCAGGGACUGAAGAUGAUGAACCACCAAUCAUCUAUAGCAAACUUUCUCCUCUCUUACAAAAUUUAAUGCUUGCACUAAUAAUAGGUCUUAAUCCAAAAUCAAGCGUGCAUUUCAAUCCUAUAAGGUCUUGAACAAUUCAAAGCCUUUUUCUAUUAGACUUCUAUGCACCAAUUUUAAUCCAAAUAAUCGACUAUAACAUAAAUUCUCAUACUCAUAUUCUAACAUGCCUUUGAUUAAUGCGAGGUGGUUGUGGAUUUCUUUAGGGAUUGGUGAAGUUGUCAGAGGUGUUGGCUAGUCGGCAUUGUAGAGGUGGGGUAGACUGGUGGACGUUCUCAGUAAGUUUGUGUUUGUAUCAAUUAGAAAACUCAAUAUGAGUUGUCUGUAUUUUGCAUCCUCGCUUUGGUACAGUUUUUAUCAUCUCGCAAUAUGCUAUAUGUGAGUUGGUGGUCCUAGAGUCUCACUAUAUGUGGUAAGUUCAACAUCAGAGUAUUGAAUAUGAGUUUGUUGCGUUUGUUUCGUUUGUUGCAGUCAUUGUUAAUGGUGCUUUGGAAUCAUGAAGGAAUACACCACUACAGAAAAAGUAUUUUCCCAAGGAAUAUCAAUUUGUCGCACAAAUUUUUGGGUAAAGGUCGAGAAGCAAACAAUUAUGCGGCGAAGACAACAGAUGUCUUGAGGCAAAGGCAUUCGUCGCGUCAAACUUUAAAGGACUAAUGUCCAUUGUCGCGUCAAUUUUAAGGUUACGACACAACAAAAUCGCACUAAGUUGAGGCAAAGAAAAGGCUUUGUUACGAAAUACUUUGUGCAACAGAUGGUGUCCUUGGGUAGACCAGUACGCAAUGAAAUUUGUCCUUUUAUAUUUUGUUUUCGAGAAAACUACUUAUAAAGAUUGUUCAUAGGUUACAAAUAUAAAUAUGUCCUAUUAUAUUGGUAAAUAGAAUCACAUUUUUUCUUCAGUCUCUUUGUAUAUAUAAGAGACACAACUGUGUUGUCAUAGAAGUUUAACCCAAUAUUUAAGAAAAUAUUCGACAUGUGGACUAUUAUUUGUCUCAAAACUAGUUUUUAUUUACAUUUUCAUCUUCAUUUUUGUGGGAUUUUUAUCAUUAAUACUAUUUAGAAAGCACGCAAUAAAUUUAAUUUUAAAGAUCGACCAGUUUCUUUAUAUCACCUUUGAAUGUCAAUUAAAUCUUUUGACAAAAAAAUUGAGAUCACUCGUGUUGAUAAGUUUAUUCUUAGAUACUUUUAAGGUUUGGAUAUUUGUAUCAGUUUUUCAACUCAUCCCUCGUAAGGCUCACAUUAUUCGUCAUGUGCUUUGGCAUCCACCCUAGUAUCCUUGGCUUAAGCUUAGCAGUAAUGACUUGGCUAAAAGGAAUCUUGGUCUUAUUGCUUGAUAGGGAGUUUCUAGGGAUAGACAUGGUCGUUUUUGCGUUUCCUCCUCUCCUUCCCUUCUAACCCUAACAGCUAAAAAGUCUUAGAAUAAAACUAGAAAACAUAAUAAAAUAAUAAAACAGAAAAUAAAAGGUUUCUCAUUUAAACUAAAAUUCGAACUUCUCAAAAACUCAAACUUUCGACCGACCAAAUCAACUCUGAUUUGGUCCCAAAAGAUUUCUUUUGGAAGCUGGAGACGUCCCCUACAAAUCCUCAGAAUGAAUCUUCCUCAAAAUAUACCAUCUUGACCUCCAAAUACCCAAAACAUCAAGAAACGUCAAUCUGGGAAAGUUGCGCGCUGGGCCUUUAUUUCAUCGACACGGUCAAACGGUUUGGUAGAAAAAUUUGAAACUUUGAUACAAUCAUCUUGAAAAACUCACGAACAUCCUCCAAUUGGAAUCAUUCCAAAAUUCAUCCGUUUGAUCACUUUUUGCUCCAAAGGAAGUCGAAUAUCGUACAUUAAAAAUAUAUAACAAAACAUCAAAAUUCUACCAAAAUACCUAAUAUAUUUAUACUAAGAUAAGGAUAAAAUAUAUGGUAUAAUAUGGAUUCAUCAAUUUUUCUUGUGCAUUUAAGUUUAUUAUUUAAUUUUUAGGCACCGAAGUGAGUGAGAAAAGUCAGCGUGGAGUCCAUAUUAAAAGAAUUUCUUGUGCUUUUAAAGGUGGACAAAGCAAUGCAAUUCCGACAUUUCCUUUCUUUACCUUGCCUUCUCAAAUUUCUCAACAGACAAAACUCCUCUGUUCAUUUUUUUUAGUUGGGUUUCGUACUAUCUUCUAAUUGGGGCUGCAAGAGGGACAAUUCCACUCAUAAAGAAAUUAUUUUUAUAUAUAAGAGGUACAAUUCCCCUCAUCAAAAUUAUUAUACAUUAACACAAACACAAACGUGUACAUUGCCAGAUAUAAUAAGUUCCACAUUAAAAUUAAUUGACAAUAUGAAGAUUGGAAAGUAAUCCAACUUAUUUAUAAGCACAUACAAAAUCUCUCAUCCUAUCAAUAUGAUAUUUAUUCUCAACAAUUACAUUAAGGUGACUAACUAGCCACUUUCGCAGUCAUCUUUUUAUUCCUCACUUUACCAACAGAAUAAUUUAUAAUUUAUUUCUGCACUAAUGCGACGAGUGCAUGAAGCUAAAAGAGGAGUGUUAACCCCAGUAGCCGGAAUAGAUGCAAACCUUGGAAUUCUGGAAUGUCGAAAAAAUAGUUGGUUUUCUCAGCUGAAGUGCCAAGACCUCAUAUCCAAAGUAAGGUUUGGCCACAAAUUCUUUCUUUGAGUUCCGUUGGACUUUCAGUACACAAGUAGUCUGGGAUUUUCCAUAGCUAGCCAAGCUUUUAGUUUUAUCCUUCUUUAAUAUUCCUUGUGCCUCCAUUUUCAAGGGAUCAUAAAUUGCUUUGUUGAUGUCAGCAAGCAAUUCUGUUGGGGAGUCAUAUACAUUUGAUGAAUUGAAAAACAUCUGAAAGGCUUUGAGGCAGGAGAGGUGGAGUUCUUUGCAUGCCUCUUGCAUAUCAUCACCGUUGAUGCCCUUAUUCCCCAGAGCCUGUUCUAGAAACUCCUUCUUCUUUUCAUCCAAUAUCUUCUGUAUAAUCCCAAUUGACUCUUCAGCCCCCAAUUUGGGACUUCCCUUCAUGUGUAGCAGAACAAGGUUUGGCUUCCCCUCCUCUUGCUCCUUCUGCAAUGAAAUCAUUAAUUUCAAUUUUCCCCAUUGAUUAAGAUUAUAUUAAAUCAACAUGAUGCUAAUCAAGAAUGUGAUCAUUAUGAAUUUCUCGUCGACGAGAUUAUCCCACCACCAUGUGAAGUUAUCCUUAGUCUAUUUAUGUGCAUUUAUUUAUUUUUAUCAAAACAUGUUUUAUUAGUGAUAUAACCUAGGUCCCUAAUAUAAUAAUUUUGGUGUUCACCAUAAAAGAUGCAUUAAUAAUAUCAUAUGACAAUAUGACGGUUACAUUAAAAAUUUCUCCUCAUAUACCUGAUAGCUUUGAAUUUCGUUCAAUAGCCGUGUCAAAAGCAUAAGUGAAUUUGUAAGUGGAUGACUUUGAGGGGACUUGAGGGUCUCUGAUUUUGGAGGUGUAUUAAGCAGAAGAGCAGCUGUAAGAAGAAUAGUAUGUGAAGCAAUAGAGCUUUUGGCUACUUGGAGGUACUCAACAAUUGACAAGAGAUGCCCAUUUCUGCUCCAUUCUGCUUCCUUUAACCAGCUUACAAAUGUUUGAUGCCACUAAAUUCACUCGGCAAAAUGUACAAAAGAAGAAUAAAUAAGUAACACAUUUUAUUAUUUUUUUACAAUUAUGUCAACUAAAUUAUUUUACCAAAAAUCUUACUAGGUCCUGAAGAUAACUCUUUAUAUCAUAUCCAUUUUGUUUGAAGAAUUGCCAAGAAAUGUCAUCAACAAAAUCUUUUAGAGCCUUGAAUAUAGCUUUUCCAUGUCCAUCCAGUUCUUUUUCCUGCCAUCUGUAUGAUGUACACAUUUAACUAGCUAAAAAUAAUAAUAUGCGUUACUUUAAAUUUCUAUGCGCAGAUUAUAUAUAAUUUCUAUCUUAUAACAUGUAUGUGAGAUCCAACACAUAACAAUUUAUAUAUUGCAUGACAAAUUUUAUAUAACCGGCGCACACAAAAAUCAUGUGUUAAUAUAUUGUACCUCGCGACGGCAUUGGCAAGAGCCUCCAAGUCAUUCAUCGAACCUUCCUUGUCAAAAAAAUCAUCAGCAACUGUAACAAGGACUGCAGCUUUCACAACCGCGAGCCGUACAUAUGACAGGGAAGAAUGUGAUGCUGUUGAAGCAACGGCAAAAUAACAGUACGCGGUUUUCUGUCGAGCAAACCCCAUGUCAACAAGACCGAUGUCUUUUGACCACCUGCAUGAUUAAUUUUUCACCCAAAACAUAAAUAGAAAAAGAAAAAGGUUUUCAUGGUUAAUUAAUUCAGGUUAAAAUUUAAAAAAAAAUGGAAGUAAGUGAAAGUGUAGAGAGUGAAUACGAACCUUUCUAAUUCCUUUAAUUCAUUUCUGAACAUGGACUGCCGUAGUGUGUAAUUCUCCCUGGCAAGUUGUAGUAGCAUGGCAUUGGUUUGACAUGAUAAUCUGCGAGGUAUUAAUAAAUUAAACUGCUUAAUCAGAGAUUUGACUGCCUUGAUCUGUUCAAUUAAUUAGUACUAAUUUAAUUACCUGCAGGAUAAGCCUUUUCCUAUCCAUGGACCAACAGGCUCUUUCAUCUCAAUGAACUUCCUGUGCUCCAGAUGAUCCAACCGAGCAAGCCAUGGAAUACUAAUUUCAUGUUUAAUCUACUCAAGGGAGAUAUGCAACAAAAUUAAUUAAGGGACGAUUAAAUAACUAAUUAUAAUGGUUGAACGUAUACCUGGUCGUGCAAAUUCUUAGAAUCUUUUAAUGUAUCCUUUUCUAGUAUUCUUUUACAGAAUUUUUUAACAUCCUCAAGCUGACUUUCUCCUGUAAAGGUCACAUCAGUUGCCCUGUAUACAUUAUACAUGGCACUCAGAAAAAUUUCUUGGUGCUCUUCUAUGUACACCAUUAUAUCUUCAUCACGAAGGAACCAGCAGAACUUCCCUACAAAUAUUAACAAAUUUUGGUAUGUAAAUCAAUAAAUAAACUGACUACAACAUCGUAACGAGGCUAUCAACAACCAGAUAUCAAAGUCAUCACAAAAAGAUACAUUUGAAAGCAUGUACAUAUUAGAAUUUAAGUAUUAAAUGAUCCUUACAAGGAGAUACUGUAUAACUGUGUAGUCUGAGCAGUCGAAACCCGAUUGAAUCUUUAUAUAGUUGCAGUGGCAUGGCAUGCUUUUCCUUGUUCUUUGGCUCUUUGCAGCUGAUGUAACUUCUGUUUUUUUUUUUUUUUUUUUUUUUUAAUAAAAAUUUUACCAACCAGAUCAAUUUUUCAAAUAAAAAUUUAACCAACCAGAUCAAUAGUGUGCAUAUAUUUCUUAAUGAUGAAUAUUAGGUCGUCACCUGUAAAGUUGUCCCAGCAUACUUGUUAUCUCCGCCAUGAAAUGCUCUGCCAGUCCCAGCCUCUCAAUCCGAUUAACAAGACAAACCCUUAGAAUGUCUUCAUCCAUGGGGUAGAUCGCAGGAACUGUACACAUAUACCAGAAUUGUCUUACUCUGAGUUGAUGUGGUUAAUUUGUCAUUUUGUUUUACAAAGGAUAAUUUACAUUACAUAUAAAAUACACCCCCCGGGGGUGGUGUUUGGGCGCCGGGAAAGGGGGGGUGGGGAAUCAAACAGGAUACUUCAAACGCAAUAACAAUGUUCUUAAUCAACUAAACUAUAAACCACUUGCGCAGUUAUUUUGUAAUUUAGUAACAAUUUUUUUGGUCAAUUGUAUACCAAAAACACCCUUUCAAGUUUAAUUAUCGUACUUUCACAAAAAUUCCUCACGUCUGAAACAUUCUACUAACACUAUCCGGAACUUUCACAUAACUUCUUUAAGGGCUGACAUCACCUAAAAUAUUUUUAUAAAGACAAAUUUGCUCUCAUCAUUAAUUACUUAAAAACAAAAAAGUCUUUUAAAAUAAAUAUAUUAAUAAAAUUAAUAAAAAUUGAUUGAAUCAAGAAAAACAUUAACAAAACCUCUCUCUUGCCUCCACCUCAAUCUUCCCCUUCCUUCACCCACCACCUCAGUGUAGACUCUGAUUUUCUUCGGACUUUGUGUUCGGAUCCUACAAACCAAUUUAUAUUGACCGUUGAAAUAGAUCGUGUGGCUAUAUAGGUAUUUGCAUUUUAACAGUUGCCCAUCCUUUUUCACAAUUGUCGACGCGGCCACGGCGUCGAUGUUUCUCUCCUCCCUAAAAAAUCCAGAAUCAUAUCUCCUUCCAGAAAUUUCUUUUGUCCUUGACCGUCCAUGUCGCCAGUACGGAAAAGAGGGCAGAAUACAGAAAAACGGAGAAGAGGCACUGCACCACCUCGAAGCAAACUUGUUGAUGCACAAAAUCAGCGAGGACUUUGGUACAACAAAAAGUGUCAGGUUUGUGACCUUCGCUUUGUUGCUUCGAUCACUAGUGAAGAUAAGUACGUAAAUGAAUAGGGACAGGGAAGCAAACACAAGAUGUACGUGGUUCACCCAGAUCGGCUACGUCCACGGAGUAGAGGAGUUCUCAUUAAUUGUGAAGGGUUUACACAAAUACAUAGGUUCAAGCUCUCAUUUUGUGAGUUCUAGUGAAUAGUUUAGUACAAAAUGACAUUAGAGAUUAUUGUGGGAGAAUGAUCCCUAUUUAUAGAAGAGAGUUUCUAGUUUUGUUCUAAUAUUGACACGUGUCGUGUUGUGAUUGGCUUCUGAUGUUGACACGUGUCGCGCUGUGAUUGGCUUCUGAUGUCGACACGUGUCGCAUUGUGAUUAGCCUUCUGGUUGAAAGGAAACUCUUCUGGGUCCUUGACGGUAUAACGUUGACCGGUGCUCAGUAGUUCGGGAUUAGUCAAGUAUGGUACAAACAGUGCUCCCUUAAGUUCUCGAGUGAGGGAAGCUCCUCGGUUGGGGACUUGCAAGAUCCAAGCCGCUGAAUAAUCACUAAACUUCUAAGUACCGAGGUGUGGUAUCGUCUUCACUUGCCUUAUCUUUCUCAUAGGUAGAUGUGGCAUCUUCUCUAGAAGUACGCUUCCUCCAUCCAGGGGUGGUAUCUUUAACCGAUGAAGAUGCACAAGGUAAUGUAUCAAUUUCACUUGAAGCUUACUUGUAGUUUCGGGCUUGGUCAAGUGCGAUACAAACCCUAUAGUAGGAGUCCCCCCAAGUCGCCGCGCUAGAGCUAGGAGAUCUGCCGAAAGAGGUGACAGACAAGGUAAGCAGUCAAACUUCCAAGCAAGCAACCCAGGAUCAGAGGUUUGACUUCGGCUUCCGGUUGAUUGUUCUCCUUCUCCUUGUCUCUCGUUCAACUGUCAGGAUAAGGAGAAGCAAAUGGAUAAGAGAUGAUAUGAGAUACUUUUGCUUUUGAAGAAGUAACUUUCCACAAGCUUAUUCUUGAACUGUGCUGAAGGGUUUUCUGGUUCCCUCCAGAGUAUAAGGCCGACUCAAGAAUUUGAGGGUCAAAACAAGUCCAUCAAAUCUAGAGUACGUUCGACCUUGAUGAUAUGGGAUACUUUUGCUGUUGACGGAAUAGUGAAUGUGGUAUGGAAAGGUGUCGUGAUGUAGUGAUCUGUUUCAGCUCAUCGUUGACCAUUCUGCUUCAAUCUUUUGCAUGGCAGAAGUGGUGUGCAACCUUUGCAUGUAAAUGGUCCUUCAGAACAUUCCUUCAUAGUGAUUCAUCCACGCUUGGCAGCUUCAGUGUAAAGAGCCAAUAUCUGAUCAACUGUCAUGAGGUAUUUGCCGGUGGAAUUCGUGACCUUGACAGCAGUUGAGGAUGAGUACUCGAUCACUAGUGAAGAUAAGUACGUAAAUGAAUAGGGACAGGGAAGCAAACACAAGAUGUACGUGGUUCACCCAGAUCGGCUACGUCCACGGAGUAGAGGAGUUCUCAUUAAUUGUGAAGGGUUUACACAAAUACAUAGGUUCAAGCUCUCAUUUUGUGAGUUCUAGUGAAUAGUUUAGUACAAAAUGACAUUAGAGAUUAUUGUGGGAGAAUGAUCCCUAUUUAUAGAAUAGAGUUUCUAGUUUUGUUCUAAUAUUGACACGUGUCGUGUUGUGAUUGGCUUCUGAUGUUGACACGUGUCGCGCUGUGAUUGGCUUCUGAUGUCGACACGUGUCACAUUGUGAUUGGCCUUCUGGUUGAAGGGAAACUCUUUUGGGUCAUUGAGCUUCCCUCACUCGGGAACUUAAGGGAGCACUGUUUGUACCAUACUUGACUAAUCCCGAAACUAUUGAGUACCGGUCAACGUUAUACCGUCAAGGACCCAAAAGAGUUUCCCUUCAACCAGAAGGCCAAUCAUAAUGCGACACGUGUCGACAUCAGAAGCCAAUCACAGCGCGACACGUGUCAACAUCAGAAGCCAAUCACAACACGACACGUGUCAAUAUUAGAACAAAACUAGAAACUCUCUUCUAUAAAUAGGGAUCAUUCUCCCAUAAUAAUCUCUAAUGUCAUUUUGUACUAAACUAUUCACUAGAACUCACAAAAUGAGAGCUUGAACCUAUGUAUUUGUGUAAACCCUUCACAAUUAAUAAGAACUCCUCUACUCCGUGGACGUAGCCGAUCUGGGUGAACCACAUACAUCUUGUGUUUGCUUCCCUGUCCCUAUUCAUUUACGUACUUAUCUUCACUAGUGAUCGAAGCAACCAAGCGAAGGUCACAAACCUGACACUUUUUGUUGUACCAAAGUCCUCGCUGAUUUUGUGCAUCAACAUUUGGCGCCGUCUGUGGGAAACGACACUUAUUCCUACUCUCUUCAACUUUGUGAAGCUGGUUUCCACCGCUCGUACACUCUCUUUUGGCCAAGCAUCUCUCUCCGACAUGAGGAGCGAAAGAAGCCACAACACACAGAAUGACACCCCCGCUGGACCUAGUAUGAAGCAACGAAAGCAGGAAGGAAAUAGAGUUACUCUUCAAGCUAAAGUCGAUGAGCUAGAGGUUCAGAACAACAAGAUAGCGAUGAGGAACGAGGUCCUCCAGGAGCAGUAUGAAAAACUUUUCGAGAUGCUUCACGAGGCUAGGCAUGCUCAAGCACACAAGCUCGUCGCCCCUGCUGAGGUCAACAAUCAUCUGAAUGCCCCCCAACACGGAGGGUCACCGAUAUCCAACACAGGAUCGAGCUACACAUCAAUGUGAUAAUCAACAUGAGACUUCUCUCAACCCAGCUGCUUCAACCCGAAGCAGAAGGAGUAGAGGAAAGCACCUCCUCACAGAAGGAGUGGAAGGAUCAAAAGUCGUCUAUCGCGAUUGUCGAGACUUCCUAAAGCAACGUCGAGAGAAUCCCAUCCACAUAUGCUCGAAGAUCAAUGACCCAAGAGUUUCUAAAAGACUCGGUCCUCUCCCACGACCCAGGCCAGCAGUUAAUCUAGGGAAUGGGCAACAAGUCCCAGAAGAAUAUGAAGGUACUGGGGACUCGGAAACAUUCCGACAUACUCACUCUAGAAGUCAGUGUGGCGAGUCCAGAGAAAGAUCACGCUAUCUUGAUCAAACUUUCCUACUUCCAAGAGGCGAUGGGGACUUAAAGAAGAAAACUUCGGUGGUGCACGACUCCGCUCAGGACCCCCUUGUCCUGCAGCUCCUUGAGGAAGUAAACAAGCUGAAGGCUGAACGUCAAGCCGAGAUACCUGACUGGAACCAACCCAGGCCUGACCCUCUCACAAGAAGGAUCAUCAACACUCCCCUCUAAGCGAAGACAAAACAGAAGCUUGACUUACAGCUCUAUACUGGAAGGGAAGACCCGAUUGAACACCUUAACCUCUUUGAGUCCACCAUGGUAUACCGGGGACACAUCGACGAAGAACGGUGCCUUCUCUUCCCCUCCACCCUCUCUGGCGGAGCUUUAAACUGGUAUUGCCGUCUUCCACCUGAGACAGUAGACUCAUUUGAAGAGUUGAGGAAGCUGUUUGUCUCUCAACACAUCUUCCAGACCGAUCGCUUGCAUUCCGCAGAUGACUUGUACACUAUUCGCCAGAAGCCGGACGAGUCAUUACGAAAGUACGCUGGCCGCUUUAGCCAUGAGUAUUCUCGCUGCGCUGAGGCAGAUGACAAGACCGCCCUCAAGGCUUUCACGGCAGGCUUACGUGACUGUUUCUUCAAGUACAUGAUCAAUGCCAACACUUGGAAAACUUACUCUGAGGUGAUGACACAAGCUUACAACCAUGCCUCCGCCGAGGCAAGGACAUAUCAAGGGAAACCCCCUAUAGUCACCCCUUAUCAGCAAGUAGGGAGUGGAGGCUAGAUCCAACCGAAUGAAAAGACCUCAACCUUCCAAAUAGUAGCAGCACACCCCCCUGCCUCAUUUAAUGCUUCACCAGCAGACAUAUCAGUCCCAGGGAAAAAGGAAAGAUUUCCAUCCUCACCAAUCUCAUUUUAAUAAAAAGAAUAAGGGGCACUAUCGCGAUAACUCAGGAUAUCGUCACAAUAACGCCCGUCCCCAGGCAGUCAAUGCAGUGGGCCAAUCACGUGUCAAGACAGGCCCUACCCCGAGGUAUGAGACAUACACACCUUUGAACGCUACAUGCGCGGCCAUAUACCCCAGUAUAGCUCAUCUGAUACCAAAGCCAAAGCCAAGACAGCCAGAUUACAAGUCCACGAAAAACACGGGCAUGUUUUGCUGCUACCACGAGUAUAAUGGCCAUGAUGGCGAGGAGUGCGUCAUCCUCCGUGAUCAUAUUGAAGCUUUGGCACGUGAAGGAAAAAUUGAUCAGUUUCUCCUUCACCCUCCAAGGGAUAACCGUAACCAAUGCCAUGUGAAUGUGAUAUAUUCUAUAAGCGGCGGCACACCUAUGUCUGAAUCUUCCAAUAGGGCCAUGAAGAACAGUGAACGAACUUUGAGACCUGGCCAUCAAGUGUUUCACGUGGAAGACAUCAGGGGAGGCAAGUAUCAAAAGCCUAACUGGGAUCCAAUAUGUUUCUACCCUGAGGAAGAAAGAGGUAUCAUCUACCCUCACAACGACCCGCUGAUCGUGGAGGCUCACAUAGCAAAUUUUGAUGUGAAACGAAUCCUGAUAGACACAGGUGCUUCAGUCAAUAUCAUGUUUGCUGAAGCUUUCAAGGCACUUAAUGUAGUUGAACACUUGCUCGAUAGCUCGAUUUCUCCUCUGAUAAGCUUCUCUGGCGAUAUCGUGCAACCUUUAGGGAGUAUACACUUACCCUUCACCAUUGGUACAGGCCCCUACACAGCUACUAUUACCACUAACUUCCUAAUGGUCAAUUGCCCGACGGCAUACAAUGUCAUCUUUGGGCGCACAGGCAUCAAUGAUCUCAAGGCCAUGGUAUCCACACAUAUGUUGUUGAUGAAGUUUCCAACCCCUUUCGGUAAUGGAUACAUCAGGGGAGAUCAACUUAGUGCUCGAUCAUGUUACAACACUUCAGUUAAGCAACAACGCCUGCCUGUCCCCAAGGAGACCCUCUCUAUACAUAACCAGGUAGUAAAGACCAGUCCAGAUGAAGCCAACUCGGAUCUUCAUGAUGGCAACAGUCAACCCGACGACCCUCGAGAUGACUCAUUCACCCAGCAAGCACAUCCCGUUGAAGAGUUAGAGAAUGUCUCUAUCUCCAAAGACCAUCCAAAUCGCAUGGUGAAGAUUGGCACCACUUUGUCACCACUCAUUCGGUUGUUGCUGAUCUCUUUUUUGCAAGAGAACGCCGAGGUCUUGGCUUGGUCAUAUAAAGAUAUGCCAGGCAUCUCUCCCGAUAUCAUCUGUCACCACUUGAGUAUUGAUCCCAAGACCAAACCGGUAAAACAUAAGCGAAGAUCUUAUGAUGUUGAACGAUACGAGGCGAUGAAAACAGAAGUUGAAAAACUCAAGGACAUAGGCUUUGUCCGUGAAGUCAAUUACCCAACAUGGGUAGCGAAUGUUGUCCUUGUUAAGAAAAAUCUGACCAAGGAAAGUCUCCUGCUUCAAAAGGUCUUGUGGAGAAUGUGUGUCAACUACACCGACCUAAACAAAGGAUGCCCGAAGGAUAGUUUCCCCUUCCUCUCAUUGAUAGACUUAUAGACUCUACGGCAGGGUGUGAGCUCUUGAGCUUCAUGGACGCUUAUUCAGGAUACAACCAAAUCCUCAUGAACCCCUCAGACCAAGAACACACAGCCUUCACUACUGACAGGGGACUAUAUUGCUACAAAGUCAUGCCCUUCGGUCUAAAGAAUGCAGGAGCAACUUAUCAGAGACUGGUCAAUUCAAUGUUCGCCGAACAGAUUGGGAAGAGCAUGGAAGUUUACGUUGAUGAUAUGUUAGUCAAGAGCAAACAUGCUGACCAACACAUCACCAACCUAUCUGAAACUUUCACCAUUCUAAAGAGGUAUCGAAUGAGGUUGAACCCCAACAAAUGUGCCUUCGGCGUGGGCUAUGGCAAAUUCUUAGGCUUCAUGAUUAGCCAACGAGGCAUUGAAGCUAACCCCGAAAAGAUCAAAGCAAUCAUCGACAUGAAAGAGCUAGUAACUUCAAAAGACAUCCAAAGCCUUACUGGCAAGGUGGCAGCCUUAACCAGAUUCAUCUCUAAGGCCACAGACAGAUGUGCUCAUUUCUUCAAAGCACUCAAGGGAAAUAAGAAAUACAUUACAUGGACGGAUGAAUGUGCCAAGGCAUUCAGGAACCUCAAAGAGUACAUGAGUAAAGCCCCUCUGUUCUCCAAACCAGAAGUUGGUGACACUCUCAUUAUCUAUCUAUCGGUCUCUGCUUCAGCAGUCAGUUCUGUUCUUAUCCAAAAUGAUAGUGGUGUCGAACGGCCCGUCUACUACGCUAGCAAGGCCCUACAAGAUGCGGAGACACGAUACUCCAACAUUGAAAAAUUAGCUCUAGCAUUGGUCAUGUUUGCUCGAAAACUUCGCCCUUAUUUCCAAGCACACGCCAUCGUGCUUACCAAUCACCCUCUUCGACAGAUACUCCAGAGUCCUGACACGUCUGGGCGAAUGAUCAAAUGGGCGAUAGCAUUGGGUGAGUUUGACAUCUCCUACCAACCAAAACCAGCCGAAAAGGGUCAAGCAGUAGCAGAUUUCAUCGCCGACUUCACAUAUCCUGUUGACAUUGCUUCUACACCUGAAGCAAUAGCUUCAUUACCAUCGGAAGCUCAGAAGAUAUAAUCAACAACCCCAGCAUGGAGUCUGUAUGUUGAUGGCUCAUCCAACCAACAGGGUUGCGGAGCAGGAUUAGUCAUCACUACCCCUGACAAAGUGGCAAUAUAAUACGUUCUUCGUUUCAAAUUCAAGGCAUCGAACAAUGAGGCCGAAUACGAAGCCCUUCUAGCAGGCUUACGUUUGGCCAAGCAUCUUGGAGUUAAACAAAUUGAUAUCUUCAGUGACUCCCAAUUAGUGGUCAACCAAGUCACGAACAACUUUGAUGCUAAGGAUAGCUCCAUGGCAGCAUAUCUUGCGCAAACUCGACUUUUGCUCAAGCACUUCCACUACCAGAUCACCCAAGUUCCUCGAGCGGCAAACAGUCAUGCAGACGCUUUGGCCCGCCUCGCCUCGGCAGUGGAAGACAAGAUUGGGAGAAAAAUUCAUGUCGAAUUGUUGGCAGCACCAAGCACCAUGGUCGCGGAAGUGUGCAAUUUACAACAAGGAGAUAGUUGGAUCACCCCAAUUUAUAAAUUCCUUGCCCAUGGCACCCUCCCAAAUGAUAAAGUCCAAGCUAAGCAGAUUCGAUACAAGUCUGCUCGCUACCUGAUCAUUAAUGACCAACUCUACAAGCGCGGUUUUACCCUGCCCUACCUAAGAUGCCUUACACCUGCGGAGAUCAUGCUGGGUCUCGAUCCCUAGCACACAAGACUUUUCGCCAAGGAUACUAUUGGCCAACACUCCACCAAGAUGCCAUCAGAAUAUCUCGCUCAUGUGAUAAGUGUCAACGCUACGCAACUAUCCCUCACUCCCCUCCCGAGCCGCUCACUCCUAUGAUCAGCCCUUGGCCAUUCGCCCAAUGGGGACUUGAUUUGAUCAGCCCAAUGCCUGCAGGGAAAGGCAAGGUCCGCUAUGCAAUCGUUGCAGUUGACUACUUCACAAAGUGGGCUGAAGUAGAACCCUUGGCAACCAUUAAUGAGGGAAAAAUAGAAGACUUCGUAUGGAAGAACAUCCUUUGUAGAUUCGGCAUUCCCAAUGCGAUAGUCACGGACAAUGGGCGGCAGUUCGACAACAAGAAGUUUAAGAUGUUCUGCUCUAAGUUCAACAUCAACUUAUGUUUUGCCUCUCCAGCCCAUCCCCAGUCUAAUGGACAAGUCGAGGCCGUUAACAAAAUAAUCAAGCGCACUCUGAAAACUAGCUUGGACAAAGCUAAAGGUUGUUGGCCAGAAUUCGUACCCCAAGUUCUUUGGUCAUACCGCACUUCAUAUCGGACUUCCACAGGAGAAACUCCAUUCUCACUUGCUUUUGGUACAGAAGCAGUUGUCCCGGUUGAGCUUGAGCAAGCAACAUACCGAAUCCAAAAUUACAUGCAGAGUGAGAACGACAAACAACUUACCCUCAACCUGGAUCUAGUCGAGGAACACAGAAAUCAGGCUCACCUGAGGAAUGUCGCCUACAAGCAGCGCAUUUCCAACUAUUACGACUCAAGGGUCAAACCUCGCUCUUUCAAAGUGGGAGACUGGGUACUGAAGAAAAGAUUACUCUGUGAUAGGGUCCCAAGUGAAGGAACACUCAGUCCUAACUGGGACGGACCGUUCGAGGUCGUCUGCAAAAGCCGCCAUGGCUCCUACAAGCUCAGAAACUCUGAUGGCAAGACCCUUGGCCAUCCAUGGAAUGCUGACCACUUGAAGUACUAUUACAAAUAGACUCACAUUGUACAAGUGUUAAGCUACAGCCGUUCGGCAUCCUAUGUAACAAAGACCAUUUGGUAUGAAUUCAAUAAAGAGGUGAUUUAGCCAACUCGGCCAUAAACUCUUUUACAUUAUGAGCAAUGAAACACUCAAGUGUUGAAGCUUCAACGCAAAUGUUUCCAAUACAAAACAAAAUCUAAGUAUGUGUCAACAAGACUAUACAAAGGAUCUACAUCAUACAUUCCAACACAUUCAUGCAUAAACAUCAUACAUUCCAACACAUUCAUACAUAAACAUCAUACAUUCCAAUACAUUCAUACAUAAACAUCAUACAUUCCAACACAUUCAUGCAUAAACAUCAUACAUUCCAACACAUCUAUACAUAAGCCAACUAUGCUUCGAAAGGGUUCAACACACUUUGUGUCAUUCGACAUUUGCCACAAUGUGCCUCGACACCUUGCCCUUAUUCUCACCAACUAGGUGAUGAAGGAACUCACCUUCGUACCACCAACUAGGUGAUGAAAUGUACAACCCGUACUCUAAUAUUAUUUGGAAACUUGCCACCCUUAUCACCAAUCAGGUGAAGAAGGAACUCAUCUUCAUGCCACCAACCAGGUGAUGAAAUGUACAACGCGUACUCUCCUUCAUGUCACCAACCAGGUGAUGAAAUGUGAUGAAAGGUGAUUAAGGAAUUCACAUUCGUACCACCAACCAAGUGAUGAAAGCAACAUACCAUUCAUUCCAUUAACCAGAAGACGAGUGGUACAACUUGUACAUGUGAACUCCUAGCAUUCACAAAUAAUCAAAAACCAUCAAGCUUUACAACUCAACUAGGGGAGCACUUAUGCCUAACAAGAGCUAUAGUCACCAACAAAGUCUUAUUGCAAGCCAACAAUGGCUUCAGUGCAUGGUAUACGAAGAUCAAGCUCUUCAGCCCUCUUGCAUCUGCUUCAGACAUUUCUCCUCUGUAACAAUGCAAACACUACAACUCAUAGAAAGCUUCAAACGCUCUUGAUCAAGACUGUUCGAAGCAAAUUUAAUUUAUAUGGUUCAUCCAAACCUUCGACUCCUACAAGAUGUGGCUUGCAUCACAAUCUCUCGCUUAACAGUAUGGAAGCAAAAUUUGUAUACGUUGUCUCUCCCACAUUUUCAAAUUUCUAGUUUUCCCAAAAAAAAAAAAAAAAAAAAAAAGAAGAGGAAAUUGGAAAUUGGGAAAUUCAACAAAAGCUUCAUCAAUGGAGGACAAAUAUCAAUCUCAAAAGCUUUGCACUAUCUUCAUCAAGAUAGUGUGAAGCAAAAUCAAUUUAUGGUGCCAACAAAAGCUUCAUCAAUGGAGGACAAAUAUCAAUCUCAAAAGCUUUGCACUAUCUUCAUCAAGAUAGUGUGAAGCAAAAUCAAUUUAUGGUGCCAACAAAAGCUUCAUCAAUGGAGGACAAAUAUCAAAAGCUUCGCACUAUCUUCAUCAAGAUAGUGUGAAGCAAAAUCAAUUUAUGAUGCCACCAAAAGCUUCAUCAAUGGAGGACAAAUAUCAAUCUCAAAAGCUUCGCACUAUCUUCAUCAAGAUAGUGUGAAGCAAAAUCAAUUUAUGGUGCCACCAAAACUUCACCUACAAUACCAAAUUUCAACACCAAAACAUAUAAAAGCUUCACACACUCUUCAUCAAGAUAGUGCGAAGCUAAUUCCAGUGGAGCUGAAUUUUGGACAUCUUAUAGUUCUUGAGCAGAUGAACAACUUUCAUGAAGGAAAUUUUUCUAUUUGAGUGACGGAAGUUAGAGUGUUGAAGCUCCAAACAUGACGGUCAGAUUUCUGCAAGCUUCAAAGUUGCUACGGUGUUUCGAAGAUCUGGACAUAUUCAACCGUUAGUUUGUUCUGAAUUUUUGAUAUGUUAUGGAAGAGAUGAUGAGGAACAACUUCGAUGAAGAAAGUAUGUUGAUCUGAACAAGAGAAAAUGGAGUUUCGAAGCUCACAACAAGUCUGACGGGUUAACAGAAAAAUCAUGAAUAGUUACUCAUCAUACCUGAAUGUCUCGAGUUGUACUACUCCGAUGGAUCUCAAAUUUGGGUAUGUUGUAGUUCACAUGUUAAGGAACAAUUUUCAUGAAGACAAUUUUUCGAUUUGAGCUACAGAGGAUGGUGUUAUAUUGAAGAGCUACCGCUCCCUCUACUCUGACUCCCUUUGGGCUUGCCAUUUUGGGCUACACAAAUAAUUUUGGGCCCUCGAAAAGCUAAACCUAGCUUGAAAUAUUUUUGGAUAAGGCAUAUAUGAAGGUGUGACAUCAAAACAAAGCUUCGUUACUUUGACAAAUUAGUAGCAAGCAAGACACCUCAUUCGACAACUCUCCUCGCCUGAAGACUUGGGGGACUCUCACCAUAUGCUACUGCACCUUGACACUCGGAAGUCUCACAACCACUCAGUGACUUGGAUUUUUCAAGUCUCCAACCGAGAAGUUUUCCUCACUCAGGAAAUUAAGGGAACACUACCUCAAACUACAUGCUUCACUCACAAAGCUCCAACAAUACACGUUUCAACAAAAGAAAAAAUUCAAAGAACUUUCUGAAGAAGGCUUUGGUGUAUUUAACACAAUAUGUUGAAAUGAAGCAAAGCUUAUUUAUUAAUACUUCCGAUAAGCUACAAAUAUGUACAUGUACAUGAGUCAAAAUAAACAAACAAGAGGGAGUCUUCAUAAAAAUUGCUUAGGGGAAGUGUCAGCAGUCGGUAGAGCCCCAGAAAGAGAAAGCACCGGAGGGUGGUUAUCCGGAGCCUCAGUACUUGACAAAACCCCAGAAGGAUGAGGCAUUGGAGGUUCAUCAUUUGAAGCUUCGUUACCAGGUACAGCCCCAGAAGAUGAAGGCAAUAAAUGCCUUUGGAACAAACCCACAAACCGCUGAUGAUCAAGUAAAACCUUACCAUCAGAUUCCUUCAUCUGGUCAAGCUUCCUCUUCAUGUUUGUAGCAUAGUCAUGGGCGAGCCGGUGCAACUGUUUAUUCUCAUGCUUGAGCCCUCUAAUCUCCUGUUUGAGACUUAUCACUUCAGCAGCCAAUGAUUCAACUUGGCGGGUUCUAGCAAAUAGGCGUUGGGCCAUAUUAGACACAGAACCUGCACACUGAACACUAAGAGCCAGAGAGUCCUUAACAGCCAACUCAUCAGAUCGUUUGGAAAGUAGUCUGUUAUCUUUGGGAGUGAGAAGGUUCCUGGCCACCACCGCAGCGGUCAUAUCAUUCUUCAUCACAGAAUCCUCAACGGUAAGAGGACCAGUAGGGGAUAUGAAGGAUGGGCGCCAUAUGUUGUCUGGAGAAGGCGUGGCUGUCUCUUCUCCAAGGUUCAAGUCAAAACAACGGUCGGAGGGGCCAGACAUUUUCAAGGGUGUUGAAGAAGGAAGAGGUCAGACAAAUCAAGAUUUUAGAAGUGCAAGAAGGGAGCUUCUACUGGUGGAGAUUCAAGUGUGCUGUGAAACUUAAUGCCAGCCUCUAUAAAUAUCUGCAAUCGACGGAGCUUCAGAAAUCGAAGAGGCGUUUGCUUUCUCAAAAGUUGGGCUGCUUAGAGACCACGAGGAUCGAUCUCAGAAAUCGAAGAAGCACCUGCUUUUUCAGCCUCGUCAGCACCUGUCACAUGCACACUCAGCUUUGCGGAAAUUACAGGCAAUCUGUCGAAGAUUUCUGGUGAAGUAGAAAGCACGUGAAUCUUACUGUUCAAUCACCACUCUCCACACGCACCAUCAACUCCUCGGGUACCACAUAUAACUUUGCCAAAGAUCUCUGACAAAGUUUAGGCACGAGAAUUUCGAAGUUCCAGCUACCCUGCUAUUACCCACGAGGGUAAAGGAACAGCACCACUGCUUGACAACUGGAAAGUCCCUAUGUGUGUCGACCUCCGUGUUCUGUGGCAAGACAGACUGGCAAGAACGUCCAACCUUUACUCACAUUCGAGAAAAGACUCCCAACAUAAUUACUCUCUUAAAAGCCGAAGCGGCACCUCUUUCCGAAUCUCGAGAGCCAGAUCCCCGACGGGAUUGCUUGUUCGAAAAUCAAAGAGGCACAUCUCUCAGAACUUCGAGAGCCAGAUUUCCUUAGAUAAAGCUUGUCUGUAAUCUUCACACGCAACAUCAGCUUUCCAGAUACCACAUACAUCUUUUUCAAAGUGCUCUGACAAAGUUAAAACACAUGAAGCUGACAGCUCCCACUACAUUGCUGUGACCGAGAAUGGUAAAUGAAUAGCAUUACUACUUGCUAUUGAGAAAUUCCUAUAUAUGUCGACCUCCCUCCUCCACGGAUAGAAAAACCUGCAAAAAUGCUCAACCAUUUCUCGCAUUCGAGAAGGCACCCUCAACAUAACCUCUCGAAAUACUCAGCUUUAUUUCCCCCCGAUAAUACCUCAGCAAAUAAGCCACACCAAGAACAAGAGUAUCUCAUAUCAUCAGGGUCGAAAGCAAGAGUAUCCCAUAUCAUGCUUUCUCCCUGUCUUUGUCUUUGUCCUUGUCCACACCUGCAGGACAAGGAGAAAGAGAGCAGUCAGUCGGAACCUGAAAUCAAACCUCCAAUCUGGAACUGACUGCCUGGAACCUUUGCCUGGUUGCUUACUUAGCAUUGCUCUCGAGUACUCAUCCUCAACUGCUGUCAAGGUCACGAAUUCCACUGGCUAAUACCUCAUGACAGUUGAUCAGAUAUUGGCUCUUUACACUGAAGCUGCCAAGCGUGGAUGAAUCACUAUGAAGGAAUGUUCUGAAGGACCAUUUACAUGCAAAGGUUGCACACCACUUCUGCCAUGCAAAAGAUUGAAGCAGAAGGGUCAACGAUGAGCUGAAACAGAUCACUACAUCACGACACCUUUCCAUACCACAUUCACUAUUCCGUCAACAGCAAAAGUAUCCCAUAUCAUCAAGGUCGAACGUACUCUAGAUUUGAUGGACUUGUUUUGACCCUCAAAUUCUUGAGUCGGCCUUAUACUCUGGAGGGAACCAGAAAACCCUCCAGCAUAGUUCAAGAAUAAGCCUGUGGAAAGUUACUUCUUCAAAAGCAAAAGUAUCUCAUAUCAUCUCUUAUCCAUUUGCUUCUCCUUAUCCUGGCAGUUGAACGAGAGACAAGGAGAAUGAGAACAAUCAACCGGAAGCCGAAGUCAAACCUCUGAUCCUGGGUUGCUUGCUUGGAAGUUUGACUGUUUACCUUGUCUGUCACCUCUUUCGGCAGAUCUCCUAGCUCGGCGACUUGGGGGACUCUUACUAUAGGGUUUGUAUCGCACUUGACCAAGCCCGAAACUACAAGUAAGCUUCAAGUGAAAUUGAUACAUUACCUUGUGCAUCUUCAUCGGUUAAAGAUACCACCCCUAGAUGGAGGAAGCGUACUUCCAGAGAAGAUGCCACAUCUACCUAUGAGAAAGAUAAGGCAAGUGAAGACGAUACCACACCUCGGUACUUAGAAGUUUCGUGAUUAUUCAGCGGCUUGGAUCUUGCAAGUCCUCAACCGAGGAGCUUCCCUCACUCGGGAACUUAGGGGAGCACUGCUUGUACCAUACUUGACUAAUCCCGAAACUACUGAGCACCGGUCAACGUUGUACCGUCAAGGACCCAGAAGAGUUUCCCUUCAACCAGAAGGCCAAUCACAAUGCGACACGUGUCGACAUCAGAAGCCAAUCACAGCGCGACACGUGUCAACAUCAGAAGCCAAUCACAACACGACACGUGUCAAUAUUAGAACAAAACUAGAAACUCUCUUCUAUAAAUAGGGAUCAUUCUCCCACAAUAAUCUCUAAUGUCAUUUUGUACUAAACUAUUCACUAGAACUCACAAAAUGAGAGCUUGAACCUAUGUAUUUGUGUAAACCCUUCACAAUUAAUGAGAACUCCUCUACUCCGUGGACGUAGCCGAUCUGGGUGAACCACGUACAUCUUGUGUUUGCUUCCCUGUCCCUAUUCAUUUACGUACUUAUCUUCACUAGUGAUCGAAGCAACCAAGCGAAGGUCACAAACCUGACACUUUCUGUUGUACCAAAGUCCUCGCUGAUUUUGUGCAUCAACAAAACUAAUAAUAAUAAGGAAAACUAAUGAAAAUGGCUUGAAAACUUUGAGUUUUAAUCAUAAGGACAAAAUAAAGGGUGAAGUGAAUAGUACCAGGAUUGACUUUUUAGUGUAAAAAUGUGGUUUUUCGUUAAAGUGAACAGUACCGGGUGCUUUUCGUUAAAGUUCCCAUAAUAAUAACCACCAGAAACGUAGGUCUUAUCACCAUAGAAGUUAAAUUACUAUUUUACCCUUUUUAAUGUUAAAUUGUUUUUUUUUAAUCUUUAUUGGAGAAGAGAAAUUUUAAGUGUUUCAAAAGGUUUAUCUAAAUUACCUAUUAAAGGAAUUUCUUUUGUCAAUCAAAAGAUGAUGAUGACUAUUUGAUCUUGUCACCAUAGAAGUUAAAUUACUAUUUUACCCUUUUUAAUGUUAAAUUGUUUUUUUUUAAUCUUUAUUGGAGAAGAGAAAUUUUAAGUGUUUCAAAAGGUUUAUCUAAAUUACCUAUUAAAGGAAUUUCUUUUGUCAAUCAAAAGAUGAUGAUGACUAUUUGAUCUUCUAUCCAAAAAAAAAAAAAAGGAACAAUAAUGUAAGUUCACAAAACUAAAUUUUGUUGUUUUCUAUUGGAGCCACACUUAUAUAUGAUUUUAACAUAUCCAAUAUUAAAAAAUAAAAACAAAAAACACAAACCUCUCCUCCCACUCUCACGGUCCCUUCUCUCAUUUUCAUUUUAGAAACAAACAAAAAAGAUAUUCAUACACAUAAAGUGUAUAAGGAUAGGAUAGUAUAUAUAAUUAUCAUGUAUGAUAUUUGUACAGGAGGCAGCAGAUUACGUGUCAUAGACCAACGAUCACAUCAUAGGAAGGAAACAACAAAACAAAAACAAAUUUUAUUGGGUUUUGGCCACGAGAAUUCAAUUUUGGCAAUAGAUGAAGUUGAAUUGCGCAUGCAUGUCAAACGUAAUUGAGAACUCUUGACCAAACCAAAAAAAAAGGAAAACUAAUGAAAAGUAUUUGAAAAUUUUGAGUUUUAACGAUAAGGAUAAAAUAAAGGGUAAAGUGAAUAGUAUCAGGUUUGACUUUUUAGUGUAAAAGUAUGAUUUUUCAUUAAAGUGAAUAGUACAAUAAGUUUUUCAUUAAAACUCCAAAAAAAAAAAAAAACGUACCUGAGAACCCACAUCUUCGGACAAUAGAAUUCAAUUUGGACAAAAAAUCUUUACGCUGUCUUCAUAAAAGCAUAUGCAAUAGCUGAUGGGGAUUGGAUUAACAGCCCAUCUUCCUCGCUUUGGCAUAGCAGUAGAGUCUCAUUGAGGUUAAUAUCAUAUGCUUCAGGCAAAGCUUCCAGGUAUUGCAUGAGUUCUAGUGAACAAUACUGUUGCUGAUCACUACUUGGCACCAGCCUGCCCCAACAAAAACUAGAUUAAAUAUUUUAGGAUUUGGUUUGAUAAAUAUUUCAUCUUCAGUUUUUUAGUUUUUUCUUACUAGAGAUGGAAAGAAAGUGCAACAGAGUGGGAGGAGGGAGGAGGAGAAAUGCGCAUGUAAUGCAAUAGAAAAGGAAAACCAAAACUAAAAAAGAAAAUCCAUGAUAAAAUUGUUUUUAGUUUUUAGUUUUCAUGUUGUGUAUUAUUUAAUGUGUAUUUCUUCCAUAUUUUACCCAUCAUCAAUCCUCUAUCCUUAUUCAUCACUAACUUCUUUCCGUGAGAAUGUGAAUGUAAAAGAGUCUCAUAUUGGUGAAAUGAGAAAUCAUGCAAGGGCUUAUAAGAGGUUGAGUUACUUCAUAUAUUGCCAAUUGGUUUUAUGGUGGAACUUCAACUUUCUUCAUUUCUUGUAUUUUCUCUUUAUUUCUAUAUAAAAUAUAAAAACUAAAAACUAUAUAUACCUAUGCAUUUGGAAUAUUUUUUAUCUCUUUUGGAAGACUUGUUCUACCAGCGCUGUUGAACCAGGAGAAAAAUGAACAUGCAGUCCUUUGUUCUCUGCAAGUUCCACCAUUGCUGGGAAAACAAUCACAAACCAUUCAGGAAAAGAAUUGUUUUGCUCUUCCAGUAGCUUCUCUGUACUUGCAUGGAUGAAUGCCAGCCCUAAACAAUAAACAUAAGAAAAAUUUGCAAUAACCAAUUAUUCCAACUGCAUAAAUGGGUAUUUUGGAUAUGGGUAAUUCUACGGAAAUCAAAAUUUUAAACCAAAUUAUGUGCUUGUUAAUGAUUGAAUUAUUAAUUAAGUGUCAAUUAACAUGAUUAUUUUCUAUUUGUGGCACAUCAUUUGUUCUGCAAAUUAGUUUUGGUUUAAAAAUUUGGUUUCUUUAACAUUAUCCUUUCGAUAUUAAAAUUUUCCAGGGUUUGCGAAAUUUGAUCAACUAUUUUCUUUUUACGUACCUUUCUGAGCGGCAUCAUGGCCAACAUCCCAUGUGGCAAGUGCAACAAUGCAAGCAAGAGUUGAAGUGAGGGACUCCAGGGUUGGAAAAUGGUCAUUAUCUCCCCAAAAGCCUCUUGUGGUUUGGUGUUGGAGAACCCAAUCCAAGCAUCCCUUGAACAAGGGUUCAUCCGAUCCUCGAUGAGGAUUCGGAAUCAUCGACAGCCACGCAAUGUCAUAAGGAGAAGGAGGAACAAGAGAAACAAGAUCAACAUCGGGUGAAAACAAUUCUUGUUUGACCUUCAUAACAAGAUUCUUAAGCAAAAUUUCUUGAGAAUCCAUGCAAUAUUGUGUUUUUAGAUACUCACACACUCGCAGGUACUUAGGUACUCACACACUCACAGGUACUUAGGUACCUACACUAGUUUUUUUUUCUUUUUUUAUGUCUUGCAGAUCAAGCAUAUAAUUUCUAUGUUAUUUAUAGAGAGCUACAAGCAUACGCAUACUAAUUUCCGUACACAUUUGUUCUCGGACGAAGUUUCGACACAAUUGCCACAGACAUUAGUGUCAGCUGAAGUUAACCCAUUGGUGCAUGGUUCACGUUGGCCAUUCCCCUAUUGGCUUCUGUUCACAAUAGCACCACUCAACGGAAACAUUAUAACUCGGAUUAAUGUUAAGGAGACUAAAUUUUUUAAACUAAAUUUGCAAACUAAAUGAUGUGGUUGUAGAUGAUUGAUUUAUUAACUAAGUGUUGAUUAAAGUGCUUGUUUCUUAUUGGUGACACACCAUUUGGUUUAAAAAUUUGGUAUCUCUAAUAUUAUCCUCAUAACUCUGUUAGAUUCAGAUUUUCUUCUCGUCGUGACUAUUGUAUUAUUGAUUUUUAAUCGAGUAUUUAUCAAUCAUAAUCAAAUGUAGCCUCUAAAUUCACAAAUGUCAGUUUCACAAAAUAUUUCAAAUAUAGCAAAAAAUCUGAUUGAAUUGACCUAAUACCCCAAUAUUAAAACCCAUGUUAUAUGGGAUUCUCACCAGCUUCCGCUAUCCCUUCUUCGUCUUCUUCCCCGAUCUGUGUAAUAAACAAGUCUUCAAGCCAAAACCCUAAUUCACAACUUUAAACAUACACACCAAAACCUAAUUUGGUUUCUUCCCAAUUUGAGUGGUAGCUUGAUGGGAACUUCCAUCCUUCUAGGUUAAAGAUUUUUCAAAAAUAAUAAUAUUUAUUGGUACUAUAGAUCCAAAUAAGGCAAGCGCAGAUGUAUGAAUAUGAGAUGUUAUGUGAGUAUCUACAGAACCUAAAUUAUCAACCGGCUUUCCAAGCACGUUGAAAAUUUGUCCUAGAGUCGCUCCACCGACUGGAACACUUAGAGGAGGUCUGGUGUCAAUCAUUUUCAUUCCUCUCUUUAGACCAUCUGUAGCACUCAUAGCAUUUUAUAAGUAGUGCUAAUUUCUUUAGUAACCCCCAUCUCAAAAUUAAGCACAUAUUUAGGAGGGCACACAAAUGAUCAAAGAGAUCAUAUUCACGAAGCACUGAGCAAAACUGAAAAUUCCACUUAAUGAAAUUAUCAUCAUUCAACUUGAUUGUUAACAUCCCUAAAAGAUUCUCAAGCUUCACUGACUCAGACAUGAUUACGUAGCAACAAUAUCAAUCAAGAAUCACAACCACAAACCAAGAGGAUGAAAUCGGAAAAAAUCACCGACUUAGGAGAAAAACCCAGAUGUAAAACUCAAAUUUCGCGUCCAAAAUUUCACAAAGAAGAACAAUCAACUAACGAUACUGGAUGAACAACUGGUUAUCGACCUUAAUUCAUCACAGAAAUCAUGUAAAUUGGCAUCAGCCUUCAAGAACGCUUCAAUAGCAUACAAUCUGAAAUGAUCUAAUCAAUCAAGCUGUCUGGGCAUCGGCCUUGAAUUCAGACAAGCUACUACUAUAAUCUUGAACAAAGAAACAAGAUCCGAAACAAAAUUCCCAAUUUACCAGAUGACUGAAGACGAGGAGAGAGACCACCAAACCUCGAAGAACACCAUAGCGGAAAAAAAAUUCACCAAGAACCCAUCACGCAAGCAAAGUGGCUCUGAGAUACCAUAUUAACACUAAGAUCAAUAUUACAGAAAGAAGAAAUGCAGACGAUCAAAAAGAAGAAACUUAAAAUACAAGACAACUUGUAUUUCUCAGAAAAUGCAACAGUACAUUACAAGAGAGGGAAAAUCCCUUUUAUACAUUCUGUUUACAACCGCUUAGCAUAUCCUGUAAACUUCUAAUCACGUGGCACAAGUGUACAUGUCAUCUAUAUCCAAUAGUAUGAUAUGGGUGAUGACUUCUUGAAUGUAGUUGGCGCGCGCUUUGGUUAGGAGAAAGAGUUUUCGAGUUCUUUCUGAUCGAGUGAGGUUGGGUUGGUAGAAGGGUGAUUCGGGGGAAUCGUGGUGGAUUAGCUUAAUGCUCAACCCUUGUUUUGCCAUGGUCACUCUAGGUAGUGAUAAGAGUUGAUGAUAGGAAUAGGAUGUACAGAAAGAGACAAGUGAUUGUGUUAGCCAUAUGGAAAUUCGAAGAAAUUUUAUGUUGAGCAAUCUUUUGCUUGUGAAACUUAAACCCUGAUUAGAUUACUUGUUAAAUAUAUUGAGUGGGCAAAGGCACUUUAAGGUGCUUUAUUAAUAACAAAAUCAGGCUUUAAGGUUGACACACCCCGACCGAGGUCAAGGCAUGAUGGCCGUCACGUGAGAGUGACGUAGCCAUGUGCACAGUGCGGAAGCGAUAAAGAUAGCAAAUAUACGAAUAAUUAAAAACCAAAUUACUAGAGUGCACUACUAAACGAAUAUGAUAGGAGUUAGUUACAACAGUGAACACUCCUAAUCAGAGCAUAAUAAGUCUAGAUGCAGUCCAGUAGGACAAGUACUAGUUACACAGUACCAGGAAUGUCCUACUAUUAUUCAAAUAGGUCAAAACUGCCGACGAUCCCGAGCCACCUACAACAACUUACUUAGAACCUGGAGGGGCACAAAACAGAAAACGUGAGUGGGCAAAAACAAAUGUUUUACAAAAACAUUUCACUAAUCAACAUAUCUAACCCCUCGCUGUAAAACAUGUAUAAUUUUCCCAUAAUCAAGAUGUAAGCAUAUACAUACAUAUAUAUAUAUAUAUAUAUAUGAAAUCAUAUCAAUUCAGUUCAUGUUUCACAUAAUCAUAUUCAUAUGUAUAUAUGCCAUGCCAAGAUAUAAUAGAGUAAAUAAUUCGGGUAAGAAUAAUUUCAUAGAAAUGUGAUAUGUUAGCCGGAACCCCUGUGGUAGUCUGUACGGCUGAAUUCAUAGCUCAAACUCAAUCUAGCCGAAGUCACUACACUACUACAAAAGGCCCCUAUAGUGUCAGUUGUUGCGUCGGUUUAAUAUAAUAUAGUGGCGCACAAGAGAGUUGCGACACCCACUGAAUAUGACGUCGGAUUUAGAAAGCCUGCGUCGCUUUUAAACCGACGUAAACAUUUAAUGUCGCUUAUAAUCGACACACAUUUUAAUAAUUUUAAAUACUGGCGUCGCUUUAAAUAAAACAGUGUCGCUUUUAAGCGACAUAAAGUAUGGGUGUCGCAUAUAGAAGCGACACUAAUUGGUUUUUUUAUAUAUUUUAAAUCCUGCGUCGAUUCUGAGCGACAUAUAUUUUAUUUUUUUAAAUAUUUUGAAACCUGGUGUUGGUUGUAAGUGACAGAUUGAUGGUCUUUAUAUACCCUCCCCCGUGUUUUCUUCUUCUUCUCUUGCAUUUAUCUCAUUCUCACGGUUUACAAACCUUCUGGUGUUCUCUCUCUUUCACCUUCCCGAUUUCUUCCAAGUUCAUUCUUCACAAAGGUAAGUUUUUCUUGCUUGUAGUAUUUUUAUUUUCUCCUCUUAUGUUUAAUUUUUUGAUACAAUUUAUUUUUGUAGGGAAUUUAUUUGAGCUGGUUAAGUACAUAAAGAAUUGAUCGACGACGGAAUUCUUCUAUAAUUCAGGUUUCUAUCACUAAAUUCUUUAAUUUUUAAAUUGUAUAAUACACAAGUUUAUUUAUUUAAAAAUUGUAAUUUAAGUAGUUAGAUAAAUUUCUAUUAUUUUUGUUAAAUUAAUUCAUAUUUAGGUGAAUUAAUUAAUUUUGUCACUUGAAUUGUUAUGAGAAAAUGGAAUGAAUAUUAUUUAUAAGCAUUUAUGUUAAAUUAACAACAUUAAAUAUAACAUAAACUUAUAAUAUUGAGUAAUUUAAGAAUAUAUUAUGUUAAAUUAAUUUUUUUUGCACUCUAAUUGUUUUUUUAAUUUGUUGUUAUUUUGAUAAUUUUUUGUUGUUAUUUACUAGAAUGGAUUAGAUGAGAAUAAUUUGAAUUGUUAUGAGAAAAUGGAAUGAAUAUUAUUUAUAAGCAUUUAUGUUAAAUUAACAAUAUUAAAUAUAACAUAAACUUAUAAUAUUGAGUAAUGUAAGAAUAUAUUAUGUUAAAUUAAUUUUUUUUGCACUCUAAUUGUUAAUUUAAUUUGUUGUUAUUUUGAUAAUUUUUUGUUGUUAUUUACUAGAAUGGAUUAGAUGAGAAUAAUUUGAAUUGUUAUGAGAAAAUGGAAUGAAUAAUAAUUAUAAGCAUUUAUGUUAACAAGGCAUGAUAGCCCGGCUGAAGCCCUCCAGUGUGGGGAGCCCGAGGGACUGGGCAGGCCCGAGCAACAUGCCUAUGAGGAAUCACCAGCCCUCGAGCCCGAGGUGGACCUAACGUAGGGCUAACGUCAGUCUGGCGUCAGUCCCAUUUUUAAAUUUUUUUCUAUCAAGCACGUGGGGGCGCAGCAGCCGACAGAUUUCAGACCCUAGGGACCCGCGAUGCAGUCUGCCUCAGUUACCAUUGGGAAGCCAGGUGGCUUCCCACGGUCCGUUCGAUCUCAACGGCUCUUUAAAAUGGGUCGUCCGAUUUGCAACAGUAAUAAAAAAAAUUAUUUAAUAUCAACCGUUGGAUCUGAGAUCGACGGUUGAUAUUAUUCUGCUUUAUAAAUAAAUAAAUAAAUAAUAGUUUUAAAAUUAAAAAAAGUUACCAUUGUGACAUGUGGCACAAUCUGAAGUGUUGGAAUUCAUUUUUUUUUAAAUCCAACGGCAGAGAUUAAUUAGUUCAAUAAAAAAUUUAAAAAAAAUUGUAAAAAAUCCGAAAAAAAAAUCUGAAUUUUUUUUAAAAAAAUUGUUUUUACUUUUCUAUAAAUACCUUCUCAUUAUCAUCUACCUUACACCACAAUUUCAUAUUUUCUCAACUACUUUCAAUCAAAUUCCUAUCUUUCUCUCAAAGUUUCAAUCCAAUUUUUUUCAACAAAAUGACUACUGAUGCAGAUACGAAUUGGUCGUUUCUUGAAGAUGUUGCGUUGUGUACUAGCUGGAUUGAAGUUACUCAUAGUUCACUUACGGGUAAUGAGAUGCAGUUGUGAGAAAUGUGGAGUCUUAUUCAUACCAAUUAUCUUGAGAAAAUGGGUGGGAAAAGAACCAAAGAAUCAAUGUCCAGUCGUUGGAAAUUACCUAGCCAAUCGUUUAGUAUGUGGAGAGACGCCUUGGCACAAGCUAGUGCUAAUCUUCGAAGUGGGGAAAAUUACACGAAUCAAGUAACAAUAUAUUAUUUAUUUGUUUGUACUAUACCCAAAUUUACAUUAUAAUUAGUUGUUUGUAUUAUUUAUUUGUUACAUACUUUCAUUAUAAUUAUUUGUUUGUAUUAUUAUUUGUUUAUUUGUUACCUACUUUCAUUAUAAUUAUUUAUUUAUUUGUUACCUAUUUAUUUGUAGCAACUUCAAGCACAAGCUUGGUAUGGUGCCAAAACCAAAAGUAAAAAUAAAUCAUUCAACCGGUGGGAAUGUUGGAAUAUUGUCAAAGAUUGUCCUAAAUUCAGAGUUGUGCCUGUCGGUUCAGAAGUUUUCAUGAACAACACCCCUCUACACUCUACACCCGAUCAUGGCUUGCAAGUUCAUGAAGAUGAUGCAGAAGAAGUGCCCGAAACACCCCUCCCUGAACAAGCGUCGGGUUCGACCCGUUAUCCAAUUAGGCCUGAAGGUAAGAAGGCUUCAAAGAGAAAAGGGAGCGCUUCCAAGAAUGACUAUGCAAAAUACAUGGAAGAACUUGCUCGCCAAGGUGAAUUGACUUUGGCACAGGAAAUGGCGAAAUUUGAGGCUGAUAAGGCUAGAGAUGAGGCAAAAGCUGCAGCUAUUGAGAGAGAAUUUCAAGCUAAUCAGAGAGAAAGAGAGCUACUUAGGCAAGAAAGGGAACAGGUUAGAGAAGAACGAAUGGCUUAACGAGAUCGUGAAAUUAUGAACACGCCUUUAGAAGGGAAGUCUCCAAAUUCUAAAUAUUUUCAGAGAAAGCGAACGUGGUACGAAAGAAGCGUGCAAGAGAAGCGAGAGCAAGAGAAGAGGGUCCUAGCACGACAAGAGAAGAUCAUCCUAGCACCAAAAAUUUGUUAAGUGAUGAUGAAUAGAGUAAUUUUUGUAAUCGGAGCCCAUAAUUUUCCAAUCACUUUGGGUUGUAAUUUAUUAUUUAUUGAAUAGAGUACUUUAUGUUGUUGCCAAUUUAUUGAAUUUAGUACUUUAUUUAAAGUGAGAGUAAAUUUAUUUAAUUUGGUAAGUUAUUUAUACUAAGAGAAUAUUUAUUCAAGUGACAAAAACACACCAAAUAAAAUUACAUAAACAUACCAAAUAAUAAAAAACUCAUUAAAAAUCUUAUCCGAAAUUACAAAUAAAAUUAUUUUGUAUUAUUUUAUAAAUAAAAAAAAUAUUAAUAUUUUAUUGCCUAUUGCCAAGAGGGAGGCUCCCACACUGGAGAUGCAAAAGGCAGUUACUGUUUAUUAAGGGCAGUUACUGUUCACUGGGUGGAUUGAAUAGUGAAUUGCCUGGGAGGAGGGCUCCCACGCUGGAACUGCUCUAGAAUCCAAGUGGAACAUUAAUGGUAUGAUCAUACUCUCUUCAUUACAAGCUUCACAUACAUAGGUAGAACACUAAAAAUGGUUAGGUUUUGAGCUAGAAAUUGGCUCUGAAAAUCGGGGGAAAAACCUACAAAACUGCAAGAACUUGCGAGGAAGGUUAGUACUGUUUGUAUUGGCGGCGCGUGAAGCGUGUGUGGUGCUGGUGCGUGCAGCGCAUGCGACAGCGUGUGGAGGAACUUGAGGUCCCUCAUUAGGUUUCUCGACAUGCCGAAUCCAAAUAUGUUGUCCGCUUUUCGAAAUUCGACAAUUUUAAAAUAGUUCUUUUAUUAGCCAUACUUUGUACGAAAACGCAUAAUUACAUUAGUAUGUUAUAUUUACAUACAUGGUUUCGUAUCUAGGUGAAAUGUAUCGCAAGGAUCUUCGAUGCCUGCGAGGUGGGUUCGACCCAACGACAUGAUUUGUGAGUGGGUCUUUUCUUUCAUAUAGUGUGUGUGUGUGUGUGUGUGUGUAUUGGUUAGUUUCCACAUAUAUAUUUAUUAAUGAAUUUUCUACAUGAUUGCCAUAAUUAAAUUAAUGUUUAUAAGAAAUGUCUUAUUAUUGGAAAAUUAUGAAAUAAUCCUACGGGAGCACAUGUAAGCUUACUAUAAGGGGAUGCCUUAAUUAUAUUUAUGGUGAAGAAUAAUAUUAUAUUGACUAGAAUUGUUGAAUUACUGUUGCAUGAUCAUAUUUACAUUAUCUGCUGAUCAUUGCUGCAUUCAGUGGCGGAUCCAGGAAUCUUACCCCAAGGGGUCGCAGUGUAAAAGUUCAAAUAAAAAUUUAGGAUGGAAAAACAUAUUGAAAGUGAAAUCAUAGUACUUUCAUUCAUAAUUCAUAAUGGAAACAAUAUUACAAACUAUAAUUGUCCACGACGAGGUUUCAUAUUUUGAAAACGAAGCAUUAUAGCUUCAUUUUCAAUACAAGCAAAAAUAUCUCUCUCAAUAUAAACAAGCAAGCUAUCUCUCUCAAUAUAAAAGUGGAGUGUAUAUGGUAUUAUAGUAAGAACUAGUAGUUUCAGUGCUGAACACUCAAUAGUAGAUUAACUGCUGAUUAACGUGUUAAUGCAAACUAUAAUUUUGGGUGGUAUAUACUACAAAUAGAAACAGCCAUGAUUUGAUUCUUCAGAAUUCGAUUGUGCAGCAUUAGCUAGAGCAUGAGAGUUUUUGAGUUUUGACCGAUAUAGAUUCAUAAUUGAAAAAUGUAAAUUAAAGAAAAAAUAAAUUACACAUUGGUAUUUACACACCCAAAAGGGUGUUUUUUUUUUGUUUUUUUUGGUUUUUAUUAUUUUAUUAUUUUUGGUAAAUACAACAAACCCAAAGGUUAAGAGAUACAAGCAGUCGAAACUACAUAAAACGAAUGAAAGCAUGAUACAAUCAAACAAGGCAGUCCCAAGACAAGUAUGUGUGCUGCCAAAAAAGAAACUUGGAGAUAGAUGGGGAAAUACAGCAGACCCAGCCCCCUUGAACAUGAGAAAUCUUUUGCCAAUCUUCGUCGAUUUCGCACUAGAUUCCCCUCUUCAAUUGAGGACAAUGCUCUAUUUUAACUUCGAGUGGAUGCAUCCCUUCUGGUAGAGAAACCAAUUUUGGACACUCACUAAGGUGAAGUAUUCUAAGGGAUGUGAAACUUGUCAACCACUCAGGUAAUGCAUCCAAGUUUUCACAAUCCCAAAUACACAAGACUCGUAGGGUGUUAGCAGCUCCCUGCAACCAUUCGGGCAAUGCCACCAUCCUUGGUGCUGCCGCAAUAGAAAAUCUUCGGAGCCUCAAUGGAAUUAGUUGAUAGUUUCCGUUCUCCAAAUCAAGCUGCUCACAAUUCCAUAUCAAUAGAGUGUGUAAUGUAGCAAGAUAACUCAUAUCACGUGGCAAAGAGGUUAGAUUACCACAAUGCCAAAUAGAAAGAUACUGAAGUGAUAUCUUCCUCUUCCUGCCGAGUCUUCGUUCAGGCUUUUUGUCGAACAGUUGGCGUGCGAGUCCGACCCCGACGACCCCAGCUCCAAGAGGUCGCAUAUGGGAGCUUCAAGGUUGUUUCCAUGGUUUCCAAGGGGUCGUGCGACCCCGACGACCCCACUGUGGAUCCGCCACUGGCUGCAUUGGUGUUAGUACUCGCCCGGGGCCAUGGCCAGUCUUUCACGUAUAUGUUCACAUCACACCGUACACUCACUUUAGAUUCAUUGUAGAUGCCAGUCCUGUCCUAGAUUGCUAUAGGCAAUUAGAACUCGUAUAUGAUGCGCAUAGCGCCAGUCUACACGUGAUUGUAGUACUAGAGCAUAAAUCAUUAUUACACCCAAUCAUGUUCAUGUCAGAAUACCUCUGCAUGAACUCGUGUGUUAGCAUAUGUCGAUGAGCACUCGAUAUGAUAUGUUUGUUUAUGUGAGAAUAUAUGAUUACAUAUGUCAUGUGUUUAUUUACAAAAGUUUGUGACGUAUUGCAUUCUUGAGAUACUUCUGGCUAUGGUAAGUAUUUUCAUACUAUACGUAGUAUAUCUAUUUUGGAAACUAUACUUGUUUUACGGUGAGGGGUUAUUAUGUUUCAAAAAGGUUUUUACAAAGCUUUAUUUUUAGGCCCACUCACCCUUGUUUUUUGCUCCUCCAAGUAUUAGUGGCAGAGCUUUCGUGUCGACGAGGAUUUAUGGCAAAAUGUUGUUGUGGGUAUACUAUCGAGGUAUAAUUCCUCUUUUACCUUUACUGUACUUUACUUAUACUCUGACAUCACGUGUGAAAUGGGUUCAUUCCUGCUCACAUGCGCACUCUUACAUUUAGGUACUUUAGGUUUAAAUCUACUCACAUUUUCCACAUCACUACACUUUAUGGCUUUGUUACAUUCUUGGUGCCGGCCAGUACAACUCGAUUCGGAGUCCAGGUGGACACUCCGGGUCGGGAUGUGUCACUUUUCUACACAAUUUUGAAUCCAAAUAAUCGACUACAUACAUUUUCUCAUGCUCAUAUUCUAACAUGCCUUGCUUUGAUUAACUCGAGGUUGUUGUGGAUUUCUUUAGGGAGUGGUGAAGUUGUCAGGGGUGUUGGCUAGUCCGGCAUUGUAGAGGUGGAGUAGACUGGUGGAUAUUUUCAAUAAGUAUGUGUUUGUAACCAUUACGAAAACCCAAUAUGAGUUGUAUGUGUUUUGCAGUCUCGCUUCAGUUGAGUUUUUGUCAUCUUGGAAAAUUAUGCUAUAUGUGAGUUUGGUGGUCUCACUAUAUGUUAGUUUGAUUGUUAUGAGGUCGAUAUAGUAGGUUAAUCAUAAUGAAAACUCAAUAUGAGUUGUAUGUGUUUUGCAGUCUCGCUUAGUUGAGUUUUUUUUGCUAUAUGUGAGUUCGGUGGUCUCACUAUAUUUUAGUUUGAUCGUUGUGAGGUUGAUAUAGUAGGUUCUUCAUCAGAGUAUUGAACAUGAGUUGUUUUGAGUCUGUUGCAUAUCCACUCUUAAAUGGUGCUUUGGAAUCAUGAAGGAAUUAGAGCCACGGUCAUUACUAGAAAAACUACUUAUGAAGACUGUUCACUGGAUACAAAUAUAAAAAUGUCAUAUUAUAUUGUUAAAUAGAAUCACAUUUUUUCUUCAAUAUCUUUUGUAAAUGUAAGAGACACAAGUGUGGUGUCAUAGAUAUUUAACCCAAUAUGUGAGAAAAUUUUCAACAUAUGUGGAUUGUCAUUUGUCUAAAAACUAGUUUUUCGUUUAUACCAUUUUCAUCUUCAUUUUUGUGGGAGUUUUUAAUCGUUACUACUAUUUGGAAAGCACACAAUAAGUUUAGUUUCAAGGAUUGAACAGUUCCUCUACAUUGCCUUUGAAUGUCAAUUAAAUGUUUUGUCAAAAAAAAUUUGGGAUCACUCAUCUUGGUAAGUUUAUUCUUAGAUACUCUUAAGGUUCGGAUAUUUGUAUCAUUUUUUCUUUAGGUAUCCAACUCAUCCCUCGUAAGGUUCACAUUAUUCGUCAUGUGCAUUGGUCUCCACCCUGGUAUCCUUAAUUGACUUGAGCUUGAUAUUAAGGGCUUGGCUAAAAGGAAUCUUGGUCAUUUUGAGCUUGCAAAGCAUCAUACUCCUUUUGCAUGGUUUGUUGCCAAUAAGGAAUUUGAGAAGCAACCCUGAAGUUAGAGGGUUUAGAAGAAUCUGUAAUAUCAGCAACAAAGGUAAAUCCUCCAAAAAAAAUGAGUAUAAUCAUGUAAUUUCAAAGUUUGAACUUGAGGAAAAACUGUUGCAAGUGCAGUGUAAGCCUUUCUAGUGAUGGUUCCAAUUUUAAGCCCUGUUUGAAUACCCUGAAGAACAUCUGCUUGUACUGAAGCAGUGGAUACUGAAGAUGUAGUAAAUGGCAAAACAGCUUCCAAUUGUCUUAAAGAAAGGACAGGCAACACAUAGGGAUUGGAAAGAGUACCUUUAGAACUGGAAGCAACAUCAUCUAGAUUAGGAUCGUGUGCAUGAUUUGGCACAUUAGAGUCUCGGGAAUAAAUGCUAGUAGGUGAUGCAGAUGAAACUAAAUUCCUAGACAAGGAUGCAUCUUGAUUUGUAGGUGAAACCAUCAGAUUAACCACAACAGGUUUCUUAUCAAACAGUUUUCCAAACUCUGAUUGCAUUUUCAAAUUUUUAGUUUUCCAAACUGCAUGGUACCAACAUUUAAGAGGAAGCUUUGCAACAUUCAACAUAGUGAUAGCAUUUUCAACAAUAUGCCUGUGUUUCCUUUCCACCAAGCCAUUUUGUUGAGGUGUAUAAGAACCAGGUAUAAAAUGCAAUAUCCCAUAAGUAGCAAGAUAAUCCUUGAAAGUAUUACUUAAGAAUUCACCAUCACCAUCAGAUUGUAAUACCUUUAUCUUUGUAUUAAACUGAUUGUCCACAUAAGCACAGAAUCUUACAAAAGUACCAAAAACUUCAGAGUUAUUCAUUAAAGGAAAUACCUCUACAAAUCUUGUUGCUUCAUCAACAAAAGACACAUAACAUCUGAAUCCCUCAACUGAUACAACUGGUGAAGGACCCCACACAUCAGUAUGGAUUUUAUGAAAAUGAAUAUCAACCCUAUCUAACUUCCCUGAAAAGGGCAAUUUACUCAUUUUGCCACUAAGACAGUGUGAACAGACAUGAACAUUUACAUCACUAGAGACGGACACAUUAGAAUCCCCGAGCAUAGCUUCCAAAAUCUCAUUUGAAGGAUGGCCAAACCUGUGACGCCAUAAAGAAGUCUUGACAGCUUUUCCCAAGAAUGCAGCAGCAGUAGAAUCACCUUGAGGAAGUAAAGUUGGAAACACAUGUACAGGAAUCCUCAACAACUCAUUUUGGCUACUCUUUCCUUUGUAAAGUAUCACCCAUGUUUCCUUGUCCUGCACAAAGAAUAGGAAAUCAUCACAGAUAAACCAACUAUUGUUAUCUUUGCACAGUUAUUUCACUGAAAGAAGAUUCAUAGUUAACAUUGGAACAUGCAAAAUAUUUCGAAGAUAAGGAGUGAGAGUGAGAUUGUAAUGUGCCAUGACCAUUCUGAACAGUCAGGCCUUCACCACUUCCAACAUCAUGACCAUUCUGAACAGUCAGGCCUUCACCACUUCCAACAAUGAUCUUAUCACCAUUAUAAAGAACAUUAGAAUUUAAGAGUGUGAUAUCAGGGCUCAUAUGAUGAGAAGCACAUGUAUCCACUAUCCAAGACUCACCCUUAGGAGAAGGUUGUGCAGUUAAAGCUGUCAUAGAGGAAGAAACAGGAGACCCUUGAACUCCAGAAAAAUCUGAAACACUUGUAAAGGACUGACCCUGAUGUAGAAAUGAAGAAGCAAUGCUACUAAAAUACUCUUGAGAAGGAGAAAAGCCUUGAAAUCCACCAUUACGAGGAAAGAAAGCAUGAGACAUAGAAUUAGGAUGCACGAACUGAGAAGAAACAUCUUGAGAGGCAUAAUUGGCACUAAGUGAAUCAGGAGGUGGAGCUCCUUAAUAGGCAUAAUUGCCUUGAUGCCUGCAAUCAAUAGCAAUAUGUCCAUUUUUACCACAAAUUUGACAUUUUUGAACCACUUGAGUGUUAUCAGAUCUAUAUAUUUAAGUGACUACAGUAUGGCCUUUCCUCAUGCAAAUUUGACAUUCAGGAACAAUCUUUUUCUAUUAGAUGUGUUGCCAGACCAAAAGUUAGCAUUUUUAGGACCAUUAAACUUGGAUUUAUAACCACUAGAACUCUUGCCUCUAUAUCCAUUAUUAUUACCAAAACAUCAAUUCCCUUGCCCAUUGUAGUUAUUUUGUCCUUGACCACCAAAACUGUUAUGCCCUUGUCCAUUAAACUGAUUUCCAGGAGAUGUAAAACCAAAAAAAGAAGAAUUAUUCUGUGAAAAGACUGGAGCUUGAGAAAACCCCAUAUUAGAUGGUCUAGGAGCAACAAACCCAAAAUCAAAAUUCUGGAGAAAUGAAGCAUAAUUAAGCAACCCUUGAGCUUGGAAAAGAUGCAAAAGCAGUUGACACAACACUAGAUGCAGAUAAACCAGCAUUAGUACAUAGUAGCCAUACUAUGAACAAGAGAUUGCAUCAUAGUUUCAAGAUUCUUCUCUACCCCUAACAAUUGAGUUCGGAAUUCUUUCAAAGUAAUAGGUGUGUCUCUGGCAAGAAUAAAAGUUCAAAUCAUAUCAAAAUCGGCAGGUAAUCCUGUCAAAACUGCUAUAACAACAUCAUUAUCUAUGAUCUUUUCACCAGGUGCAGUAAGUUUGUCUUUAAUAACCUUCAUCCUUAACAAGUAUUUAUCCACAUUAUCACCACCUUUCUGAAUGAUAUGUAACUCUGCCUUUAAGUGAUUAACACUAGCACUAGAAAUAGACAUAUAUCUAUUUUGCAAAGCAGUCCAAACUUCAUGAGAAGUCUUACACCCAACCACAUGCUCAAUAGCAUCAUCACUAAGUGUAGCAAUAAGAAGACUAAGCAAUGGCAUAUCUGUCUUGACCCAAAUGGCCUACUGCUUUAAUUCCUGUUUCAAAAAUAGAUAAUUUUGUAUCUAACUGUAUAAAGGCAAGCGCAGAUGUAUGAAUAGGAGAUGUUAUGCGAGUAUCUACAGGACCUAAAUU
rnacentral:lncRNA from 1 species